CAAAGAUAGCUGAAAAGAAGAGUUGUUUUAAUGGAUGGUGUCCUAAUUGGGGUUUCCGAUAUUGGAUGGGUAGAAAAGCAUCAAAGGAGACUCGCAAGUUGUCCGAUCUACAAGACCGCGGCAAAUUCAACACAGUUGCCCUUCCUAAACCUCUACCAUCAGACAAAGAAAUGCAUAUUCCAAGAUUUUUUUCUUCUUUUGAGACUACAAAAUCGGCUUGUAAUCAGAUCACUGAAGCACUGAAAAAAGGCAGCACAAAAAUGGUGGGAUUGCAUGGUCUCGGUGGAGUAGGAAAGACAACCCUGGCAAAAUUUGUUGGCAAUCAACUUCGGCAAGAAAAGAUUUUCGAUGAGGUGGGGAUUGCCACUGUAUCUCAGGAUCCAGACAUAAUAAAUGUUCAAAGUGAGCUGGUAAAGUGGUUAGGUUGGGAAUUAAAGGAGAAAGAUGAAGAAGAAAGAGCAGAUCGAUUGCGCUUGAUGUUCUCUGAGAGUAAAGGCCGCAAGAUACUCAUAAUCCUUGAUGAUGUCUGGAAAGAGCUCGACUUGGAGACAGUAGGUAUUCCCGCCAAUUGCUGCAAAAUCCUUCUAACUACUCGCCUGCAGCAAGUUUGUGAUCGCAUGGGUUGUGACACGCGGAUUAAACUAGAUGCUCUAGACCAAGCAGAAGGAUUGGAUUUACUAAGAGAGCAUGCCGGCAUUGACGUUGCUGAUACAACCUUGACUGAUGUUUCAAAACGAGUUGCUGAUGAAUGUAAGGGGCUGCCUUUAGCUAUUAAAGUUGUUGGAAGUGCACUAACAGGAAGAAACGCUGAUGAAUGGAAUGUAGCACUAGAUAAACUACAAAAUGCAAAACUCGAUAAGAUAGAAGGUAUUGAUAAGGAUUCCCUGGGCGUUUACGGUUGUCUCAAAUUUAGUUAUGAUUAUUUGAAUGGUGAGGAUUCCAGGUCAUGCUUCUUGUUGUGUUCGCUGUUUCCAGAAGAUUAUAAGAUAGAUUUGGAGGAUUUGCUUGGAUAUGCAGUGGGGUUGGUUUGGUAUCAAGCUGAGUCAAUCGAAAAAGCCAGAAGCCUACUGCGUGGAACGAUUAAAGGACUCAAAGAUUCUUCAUUGUUGUUAGACAUUGAUGAUGACGGAUUUGUGAAAAUGCAUGACAUAGUUCGCGAUGUAGCCAUAUGGAUAGGCAAAGUGGAGAAGAAAUAUUUUACUAGUAAAGUUGGCAUUGGAUUGGCGGAAUGGGCAGUGGAAGAAGGCCUAGAACAAUACAGAGGAAUCUCUUUGGUGGGAAAUGAAAAAGUAGAGCUUCCUAGCGGUUUGGUAUGCCCUAGCCUUCAUAUUUUGCGACUGGAGAAUACUCUAUAUGGCAACAAAUUGCAAGUUCCGGAACAUUUUUUUAAAGAGAUGUCAGCACUGAAAGUUGUUACUAUAAUAGGUGGAGUCCUUUCAGUUAAAUCACUUCAAUUCCUCGCCAAUAACCUUCGAGUUCUGCAGUUGAUUCGAUGUGAUGUGAGCGACGCGUCUUUUCUUGGAAAGUUGAAGAGACUUCAAAUUCUCUGUCUCCAGCGGUCUGCCAUUGAAAUUCCAAAUGGAUUGGGGGAUGAACUUAGUAGAUUGAAACUUCUGUAUAUUGAUACUUGCUCCAUUUCUCCCAUUACGAUAAAUAAAUUUCCUCAAUUAGAAGAAUUUUAUGGUGUGAUAAAAAAUUGGGAGGUUGAAGGGAUGAGUUCAUAAGAAAGUUACGCUAGGUGUGCUGAGUCGGACUCCCAAUCCGACGAGUCGGACUCCCAACCCGACGGAUCCGUUGUAUGUCUUCCAAAAGACUUUUCAUUUCCGAAAUUACAAAGGUAUGACAUCAAUAAAGCUGACAGCAAUGAUUGUACAAUUUAUAGAGGGAGAAGGAGCUUAUACAUUAAGAAUAACCAUCCUAAAGCAACACUAGUUAUUUUUUCAGCAUAGUAUCCAGAAUUGGAAAAUCUUUAUCUAAAUAGGGUAAGAGGUUGUCAUAAUAUUGUGCCAAGCAUAGAUGAAAGGGGAUUAAAUGAGUUGACUAUUCUUCAUGUCACCGAUUGUAAAGAUUUGGAAUGCAUAAUGGAUGCCUCUAAGUCGCCGCAUCGAAAGAGUGGGAAUCCUGUGAUGCUCUCAAGAUUAGCAAGGUUAUAUAUCUCAAAAUUACCAGAACUGAAGUGGAUAUGGAAGGCGCCCACCCAACAUGUGAUCAGCCUCCAAUCUCUUACAGAAUUGAGUGUGUCAGAGUGCAACAACUUGACUUAUAUCUUCACGUUGUCACUGGCUCGAAAUCUGUUGCAAUUGAAGGAGUUAGCUGUUUUUAAUUGUCGGGGAUUAGAGCAAAUCAUUGAUGAGUAUGAGGAUGAGGAUCAUCUCCAACCUGUAUGUUUCCCAAAACUCACAUGGAUCGUUGUCCGUUAUUGCCCCAAACUAAAGCAUCUAUUUCAUAUCAGCGUAGCUCUAAGUCUUCAAAAACUGAAGCAACUAUACAUAGUAGGUAAUGAUGAAUUAGAAGAAGUAUUCUGCCAUAAAGAUGGAGCAGACGUCACGGAUUACAAUGAAAUUGUUAUGAAUGAACUUCGGCACUUGAUACUGGAAGACUUACCAAACCUCACCAACUUUUGGCCUGCGGGUUAUAAGAUCCCAUUUCCAUCUGCAUCCUAUGGAGCUGUUGUUCGUAAUUGUCCCAAGCUUAAGUGGAAAUUCAUAAGGAGAAGAUGAUUCCGAGAAUUCUGGAGCAGAGGUAAUUCUUGAGAACUUUAAAUUAAUUGACUCUAUACAUAGUUGGUUCAUGUUUUCGUUUGUGAUAGCUAAUUGAUCUAUCCUAAAAUCAAAAUUUCUCUUUCAAUAUAUAUAUGUGUUAUAUUAUAAUUUUCUCUGUUUGUUUUUUUUUUUUAUCAUUUUAUUCAUCAUUCAAUCGUAUUUAAUGCCCAAUUUAUUGGUUGGAUAUAUAGGCACAGCAAACUACAGACGAGGCAGAUGCCAGCCAAGAGAGGAAGACGCCAGCGAAGAAAAAGAUGGCAGCAAACAUGAAUGAUUUCAAAAAAUUCCAAAAAUCCCAAAAAAAAAAAAAACACAUUUCAGCAUGUUCAGUUCGCACAAGAAGCUAAUAAUAAGCUUUGUUCUAUACUUGUUUAAUAUUUCGUGCGUGCUCAAAUUGUGAAGAAUAAAGUUUCAAGGCUUUGUUGUGUGUAUCUCAAGAUUUAUUCAACUUUAAAAUUCACCUGUUCCGUUUGUGAUCAUUAUUUCUUCAAUUGUUGAAAUUUUGAUAAAAUUGCUGGCUAAAUUGAUGGCCUUUUCGAUGGGCAUUAAUUGUGCCAAUUUAGUAGUUGCACGCAUUUUCUAGACGGCGAAGAAAGUGUGUAAUGUUGUGACAGUAAUAAUUUUUAUUUUUUAAAAUAAAGUGUGUGAUGUUGUGACAGCAAUAAUUUUUAGUAGUAGCACGCAUUUUCUACACACACCCCAGCAGUGACUGUGUAUCGUGACUGGUAGUGACUGGCUUAUUUGAAAAAAUAACACUAAGCGUACCCUUAUUUCAUCCCGCCUUCCGCAAAUUCCGGCCAUGCAUUCUAUUUUCGUAGGUGAACAUUUUACAGCGGUAAUGAUCAGAUUUCUUUCCCCUAUAUCGUGUAGCAUUUAAUGCAAGUAGCUGAGAAGGCCCAGCCCAGGCGCUCUUGACAACGCAAAAGUCGUCUAAAACAACAAAAUAUUUUGUUGAUCUUUUACUUUUCUUCAUUAAAAGUAUACAAUUUAUUUUCACCAAAUCCAAGAGCGUGUCAGAAAAAUGAUGUCCCAAAAAAUGACUUAUCAUACUGAGAAAUAUUUAUUCAAGGUUGAAACAUAUUUACUUGGGGAGCAUAAUAAAAAUAGAUGCAUAUAACAGCUAAUAGGAUCGCUAACAAUAGACUAAAUUAAAACGCCAAAGAAUCUCAUAAAAAAAGGGAUUACAUUAGCGACUGGACGGUUAAUAAAAAAAAUUUGGGCUAAGCCGAGCCUCUUUUUUUUUUAUACGAGUGAAAUUUUUUCUUAAAGCUUUAUCAUUAAAUUUUGGAUGUAACUAUUUAUACUUUAAACACCUUUAUUUUCAUAACACCCCCAUUAAAAAUUGUCAGAUUUGCAAAUAUAGGGUUUACUCUAUAAAACCCGUCAAAAUGCAAAAUCUAUUCUUAAUAUUUUUUCUUCUCUCAUCUUCAUCCUUCACCCAUUUUUUUGUAUCUCGAAAACUCUUAACAGCAAAGGAAAAAAAAUCUCUUGUACUACAAUAAACUUAUGAUACUUUUGUAUUAACUCGUUAGAAUUCUUUCGUAUUAACAAAAAAUACUUACAAGAAAAAUUCAUUUUCUUCGAUCUAUAGUAUUUUUAUAUAUAUGUGGUUCCCAUUUUACCUACGUUUCAUUGAGAUUAAAAAUUUAAAGGGAAAUAAACGGUUAAUUGAGGGCUCAGCUAUCUUGCAAUAGUUGUAAGGUACUACUAAUUUUUUAUUUUUUCUUGAUUUCAGUCAUUUACCAUUAGAUUUAAGAAAAAAAUAAUUUUAAUGAUAGAUAUUUGUUCAUUUGAAUAUUAACAUUACACUCCCUAUUAUUUAUUAAAAACACAAACAAGUUAAAGAGUUAAAAUUUUUAACACAUAAGUUCGGAUUGUUUUCAAUUUAUAUUGUUUAAUUAGUAGUGAGUAUUAAAAAAUCAAUUAUAUUUUUAAUAUUAUAUAUUUUAUUUAAAAGAAUAAAUUUUUAAUAUUAUUUAUUUUAUUAAAAAUAAAUCUUAUUUAAUAUUAUUUAUUUCAUUUUAUUUAAUAUUAUUUAGUCAUAUGCUUAUUAUUAUAUUUAUUCUUUCAAAAAACUAAAUAACAUUAAAUAAAAUAAAAUAACUAGUAGGGAGACUUAAAAAUAAAUAUUAUUUUUUAUUUAACAUUAAUUAAUCAUAAGCUUAUUAUUAUAAAUAAUAUUUAAAAAAUAAAAAUAAUAUUAAUAAAAUAAAAUAAUAAAUAGUGAGCCUUAAAAAUAUAUAUCAUUUUUAAUAUUAUUUAAUUUAAUUUAAUUUAAUAUUAUUUAGUCACAGACUUACUAUUAUAUUUAUUCUUUCAUAAAACUAAAUAAUGUUAAAUAAAAUAAAAUAAUAAGUAAUGAGUGUUAAAAAAUUAAUAAUAUUUUUUAUUUAGUCAUAGGCUUAUAAUUAUAUUUAUUCUUUAAAAAACUAAAUAAUAUUAAAAAAUAAAUAGUGUCUUAAAAAUAAUAUCAUUUUUAAUAUUAUUUAAUUUAUUUAAUGUUAUUUAGUCAUGGACUUGUUAUUAUAUUUAUUCUUUUUAAAAAGAUAAAUAAUGUUAAAUAAAAUAAAAUUACAUUUUAAAAAAUUAUCAACCAAAACACAUAAACUUAUAAAUAAAUAUAAAAAAUAAAUAAUAUUAACUAAAAUAAAAUUACAUUUUAAAAUAUUACUAAACUUAUAAAUAAAAUAUAAAUAAAUAAAAAAGAAAUUAAAUAAAAUUUAACAUCACAUAAAAUAAAAGUUGGUAACACUUUACGACUGUUAUAAGUAGAUGGACCCGUUAAUUGAAUGGUGUGUUCGUGGCAGAUUGUACGUUCAAUUUUCAUUUAUUUAAUCAGAAAAAGCACUAUUUUGAAUUGAGGAAUCGUAAUCUUGAUAGAUUGCGUUCUGACAGCCAAAUUACGAAGUUAAGAAGAAGACGACAGCUUGCUUUUCGCUUGUGAUUCAAUAAUUUGUUUUUGUCGGUGAUAAUAAUCCAGCAAAAGGUUGAUGUAUUAUUGGCCGAGAAGGAUGAAAUUGACAACUCACUGUCACCUUUUCUUUUUUGAAAUUAACCCAUUUUCACUUUAUUGCAAUCCAAAACAGUAUAUUGGUAGUCUACUGUUCUCACUUUAUUGCAAUCCAAAAUGGUAAGUCCGUAGAAGCCUCCAAAAUGUCCUUUGCUUCACUUAAAUUGUUUAUUUUUAUUUUUAUAAUUAAUAUAUAUAUAACUAUUAUUAAAUAAAAAGAUAUUUUAAAUUAUUAAAUUAAAAGAUAAAAUUAAAAAAAUAAAUAAAUUACUCACUUUAAUACAUUAUAUUUUACCAUAUAAUAUAUUAAAGUAUGUAUUUUUUUUAUUUUUAACUUAAUAACUUUAAAGAUCUCUCAUUAGAACAUUACAAUAAAUAUAUGUAUUUUUCUUUGUGUGUUAUGAAAUCUGCUGGGAUUUUUCUUACAGCUUAUGUAAGUUACAUUCAUUACAAAUUGAUACUUGUCUUUAUUAUAAAUUUUUCUUUUAUCCAAUAUGCGUUCAUUUCUUCAAUCAAACCUCAUAUUUGUUCAAUUUACGAUAAGAUCCUUGUAUGGGAGCAUAUCUGCAUAUGUAAUAAUUAUUCUUCUAUUUCAGACAGUUUUUGUGAAAAAAAAAAUAACUUUUAGCAAUUAUUUAUGUUUACGAAUUCUUACAGUCUUAUUUUAUUACUUUUCAUAGCUCUAUACAAAUGUUUACUAUAGAAUUUGUGUAUAUUUGGCUAUAAUAUAAUAUAUAAUGUAAACUUCUAUUCAUCUCUAAGUAAAAUGACAAUUUUUUGUUUACUCUUUAAAAAUAUGAAAUUAUUAAUUUACUCUCAUUUUUAUUUACAAGACAAUGGAAAAUAAGGUUGCAUUGAUUAAUUUUUUUAUUGAUUAAUUUUUUUAUUUACUUAGUAAUUAAUUAGAGUAAAUUAAUAUUUUCAUAAUGGGAGAUACAUUGCAGAUUCUCAUUCUUAGUAGCGGAUAAAUUAAAAUUUAUCUAAUUAUUUUAAAAUAUCAUUAAAAUUUUACAUUCUAAUCUAGAUUAGAUUUGCAGGGGGGCAACGUCCUUAUUCGAAUUAGACUCAGUUGGAAGAGGCACAUCUUCACCUCAACGAUUGUUCCACACGGCCCAACAUGAUACACUGUAAACUAGUCUAAAAAGAAUUCUUUGGGCGACUUUCUAGCAAUAGACACAGAGAAAGUGCUUAGUAGUAUGAAGUCUUCUUCUUUUAAAAUCAAAAUAAAAUGCACAGAGGACGAUAAUUUUGUUUCAUAAUUGAAAUUUUUACCAAGAAAGUUUGAAGAUGAGAGUGGCGAGAGAUGAGAGUGGCGAUGAUGGUGUGUGCUUUGGAUGGAAAAAUAGAUGAGAAAUAUAUAUAGACAUAUUAAAAGAAAAAUUUUAAUUUAUGUCUCAAGUGAAAUAAGAAAUUAUAAAUGUAGGUGUUAAAAUGUAUUCCGAAUUUAUAAAUUUUUAUAAACAUUAGACCCUUAUAAAAGUACAGCGAAAAGUUAAAUUUUUUUAAUAAAUGUCGAAACAAUGGACGAAGAAACCAUUCAUCAGCUCAGAAUUAACAAUCAAAGAUAUGACGACUUGGUUGAAGAAAUGGUGAAAAAUAAAAGGACAUUGGGUCUCGCUAAUAUUAAGGUUAGCGGGACCCUAAUAUUAAUGCUAAAAAAUAAAAGGACACUGGGUUGGUUUAGCGGGAAUCUAAUAUUAGAGUCAAUGGUAAAAUAUAAAAAUAAAAUUACAUGUGAUUAAUUUAUAUAUGUGUAGUUAAGUACUUAGCAAGCACUAGUUGGGGGUUUUUGUGUCCAUGGAAAUUAACAGUUGGUUGGUUGUUGGCAUUAUUCUGUGGGUCUGUAAGUGUAAUCAUGAUCUGACCAUUCAAAUUAAGAAAUGGGGCUCCCGCCGUAAUUAUCACACAUGCAGAUCUGGUCCAUGCGAGGAUCUUAUCAUAAAUUAAAAGGAUACGAGGACUUGAUUGAAGAAAUGAACAGAUAAUUGAACAAAAGACAAUUAUUAAUUUGUUAUGAAUGUAAUUGACAUAAGCUGUAAGUUAGCGGGACCCUUCACUUUAUUGCAAUCCAAAAUGGUCGGUCGGUAGACGCCUCCAAAAUGUCCUUUGCUUCACUUAUGCUGCGUUUAACGGGAAACAGAAAUUUUAAUAAUUAUUAUUAAAUAAAAGAUAUCUUAAAUUAUUAAAUUAAGAGAUAAAAUAAAAAGUAAAUAAAUUACUCACUUUAAUACAGUAUAUUUUAUUAUGUAAUAUGUUAAAAACACAUAUUUUUUUAUUUUUAAUUUAUUUUUAACUUAAUAACUUUAAAGAUCUCUUGUUAGAACAUUACAAUAUAUAUAUAUAUAUAUUUCUUUUUGUGUGUUAUAAAAUCUGUUGAGAUUUUAAAUAAAAUAUUUAUAAUAUAAUUUAGAGAUAUGUUGAACAUUAAUUAUAAAAUAUACCUAAAAUUUGUGUAGAAAAAUCUACUUUCAUUUAAAAAGAAUGAGAUUUAAAUUCAUUCUAAAGAAAAAUAUAUAAAAGAAAAGUGAAAAUCUUAUAUUUAAUUAAACAAUUUAAACUCAUCCUCUCAACAACAACCCGAAAGAUACCCCAAAUGCAAGCAGUUGGACACAAAACUUCUUAUUAAUUUUUUUUUUUAAAGUUUUAAAUCAAUUUUACCAAAUUACCCCUCAUGAUAGAUGAUAAGGCAUGUGUAUCACUUCACUUUCCACCUUUCAAUUCUCACUGAUAUAUCAUUUCAGACCUUUCUACCAAAGUUCAAUCAUUUUUCAUGCUCUUGAAGUCACCAGAUCUGUCAUCCGUGAACUAGCGGCUCUCAUUUCGGUACGUUACUUCUGAGAACAAGGAGUUAUACUGACAAGAAAAAUUCAUUUUCUUCAAUCUAUAGUAUUUUUAUGGAUGUGUGGUUCCUAUUUUAUCUACGUUUCAUUGAAAUUAAAAAUUUAAGGGGAAAUAAACGGUUAAUUGAACGGUGUGUUCACGGUAGAUUGUACGUUCAAUUUUCAUUUAUUUCAUUAAAAAAUCAUUAUUUUGAAGAGUCACCCUAUGUAACGUUAACAUAUACACAUUUACAGUAAUAAUAACAAGUCCGAUAUUUCGUUGAGAGUGUGUACUCAACGUAAUACAGCAGUGGCCUAUUUUGAGUUGAGGAAUCGUAAUCUUGAUAGAUUGCAUUCUGACAGUACGAAAUCAAGAAGAAGACAGAUUGCUUUUUAGUUGUGAUUCAAUAAUUGGUUUUUGACGGUGAUAAUAAUUCGGAUUCAGCAAAAGGUUGAUGUAUUAUUGGCCGACCAGGAUGAAAUUGACAACUCACUGUAACCUUUUCUUUUUUGAAAGUAACCCUAUUUUCACUUUAUUGCAAUCCAAAAUUUAGAAGCCUCCAAAAUGUCCUUUGCUUCACUUAAAUUGUUUAUAUAUAUAUAUAUAUAUAUAUAUAUAUAUAUAUAUAUAUAAAAUUAAAUAAAAGAAUAAUUUAAAGAUAAAAUAAAAAAUAAAUAAAUUAUUUAUUUUAAUAUAUUAUAUUUUAUUAUGUAGUACGUUAAAACGUAUUUUUUUUAUUUUUAAUUUAUUUUUAACUUAAUAACUUUAAAAAUCUCUCAUUAGAAUAUUACUAUAUAUCUAAUUUCAAUAUAAUCCACCAUAUAGCACGUUUACCUUAGUUCUUCUCUUCUGUUUUGCAGCUAAAGUCUACUUAAAGCUCGGUGCUUGCAUUAUUUUAUUCUUAUUGAUCAAAGUUGGCGCUAAUAAACAGAAAAAAGUAAUUAAACGUUCUCGUUCGAUCUUGUGAUCAAGCUUCCUUGUUUUGCUUAUAGCGUACUGAGAUCAACUUUGUUAAUUGCAGAUAAAUAGCAUGGAAAUUUUAUCAGGUAUUGCAUCAAAGCUUGGAGAGUUAUUGGUGGAUGCUACCGUAAAACAAGCUCGCUAUCUGUUCUGUUUCAACAGCAUUGUUAAAGAACUUGAGGAUAAAGAAACUAAUUUGAAGGAGGUGCAAGAUGGCAUCAACGAAAAAGUAGAAGAAGAACGACAAAAACAUUGCGCUAUAGUAGUUGAGAAAGAUGUAGAGAAGUGGCUGGCGGAUGUAGUCAAAGAAAUGGCCGAUGUCCGAACUUUGAAAGCAAAGCUAGAUGAAAAGAAGAGUUGUUUCAAUGGAUGGUGUCCUAAUUGGGGUUGCCAAUAUUGGAUGGGUAGAAAAGCAUCAAAGGAGACUCGCAAGCUGUCCGAUCUGCUACAAGACCGCAGCAAAUUCAGCACAGUUGCGCGUCCUAAACCUCUUCCAUCAGACAAAGAAUUGCCUAUACCAAGACAUUUUAUGCCUUUCGCGACUACAGAAUCGGCUUGCUAUCAGAUCAUUAAAGCACUGAAAGGAGACAACACGAAGAUAGUGGGAUUGUAUGGGAUUGGUGGUGUCGGAAAGACAACUUUGGCGAACUUUGUGGGCAAUCAACUUCGGGAAGAAAAUGUUUUCGAUGAGGUAGGGAUAGCCACUGUAUCUCAGGAUCAAAACAUAAUAAAUGUUCAAAGUGAGCUAGUAAAGUCGUUGGGUUGGGAAUUAACAGAGACAUAUGAAAAAGAUAGAGCACGCCGAUUGCGCAUGAUGUUCUCUGAGAGUAAGAGCCGCAAGAUGCUCAUAAUUCUUGAUGAUGUCUGGAAUGAACUGGACUUGGAAAAAGUAGGUAUUCCCGUUGGUGACAGAGACAAUUGUUGCAAAAUCCUUCUAACCACUCGCCUGCAGCCAGUUUGUGAUCGCAUGGGUUGUGACACGCAGAUCCAACUAGGUGUUCUAAAGCAAGAUGAAGGAUUGGAUUUACUAAGAAAGCAUGCUGGCAUUGAUGUUGCUGAUACAACCUUGAUUGAUGUUUCAAAACAAGUUGCUGAUGAAUGUAAGGGGCUGCCUUUAGCUAUUAAAGCUGUUGGAAGUGCACUAAGAGGAAGAACCGCUGAUGAAUGGAAUGUAGCACUAGAUAAACUACAAAAUGCAAAACUCGAUAAGAUAGAAGGUAUUGAUAAGGAUUCCCAGGGCGUUUACGGUUGUCUCAAGUUUAGUUUUGAUUAUUUGAAUGGUGAGGAUUCCAGGUCAUGCUUCUUGUUGUGUUCGCUGUUUCCAGAAGAUUAUAAGAUAGAUUUGGAGGAUUUGCUUGGAUAUGCAGUGGGGUUGGUUUGGUAUCAAGCUGAGUCAAUCGAAAAAGCCAGAAGCCUACUGCGUGGAACAAUCAAAGGACUCAAAGAUUCUUCAUUGCUGUUAGACAUUGAUGAUGACAGAUUUGUGAAAAUGCAUGACGUAGUUCGCGACGUAGCCUUAUGGAUAGGCAAAGUGGAGAAGAAAUAUUUUACUAGUAAAGUUGGCAUUGGAUUGGAGGAACUGGCAGUGGAAGAAGACCUAGAACAAUGCAGAGGAAUCUCUUUGGUGGGAAAUGAAAAAGAAGAGCUUCCUAGUGGUUUGGUAUGCCCUAACCUUCAUAUUUUGCGAUUGGAGAAUACUGAAUAUGACAACAAAUUGCAAGUUCCAGAACAUUUUUUCAAAGAGAUGCCAACAUUGAAAGUUGUCACUGUAAUAGGUGGAGUUCUUUCACUUAAAUCACUUCAGAUCCUCGCCAAUAACCUUCGAGUUCUGCAGUUAAUUCGAUGUGAGGUGACUGACGCGUCUUUCCUUGGAAAGUUGAAGAGACUUCAAAUACUUUAUCUCGAGAAGUCUCCCAUUGAAAUUCCAGAUGGAUUGGGGGAUGAACUUAGUAGAUUGAAACUUCUGUAUAUUGAUACUGGCUCCAUUUCUCCUAUUACGAUAAAUAAAUUUCCUCAAAUAGAAGAAUUUUAUGGUGUAAUAAAAGAUUGGGAGGUUGAAGGGAUGAGUUCAGAAGAAAGUUACGGUAGGUGUGCUGAGUCGGACUCCCAACCCGACGGAUCCGUUGUAUGUCUUCCAAAGGACUUUUCAUUUCCGAAAUUACAAAGGUAUCGCAUCAGUGAAGUUGACAAGUUUAGUAUUGCAAAUGAUCUAGGGACAAGGUGCUUAAUCAUUGAGAAUAACCAUCCUAAAGCGACGCUAGGAAUUUUUUCAGCACUGUAUCAAAAUCUGGAAAUUCUUUAUUUAAGUGGGGUAACAGGUUGUCAUAAUAUUGUGCCAAGCAUAGAUGAACGGGGCUUAAAUGAGUUGACUAUUCUUCAUGUCACCGAUUGUAAAGAUUUAGAAUGCAUAAUGGAUGCCUCUAAGUCGCCGCAUGGAAAGAGUGGGAAUCCUGUGAUGCUCUCAAGAUUAGCAGAGUUAUCUAUGUGGGAAUUACCAGAACUGAAGUGGAUAUGGAAGGCGCCCGCCCAACAUGUGAUCAGCCUCCAAUCUCUUACAGAAUUGACUGUGUCAGAUUGCAACAAUUUGACAUAUAUCUUCACGUUGUCACAAGCUCGAAGUUUGGUGCAGCUUAAAAGUCUGGAAGUGAGUGACUGCGAGAGACUGGAAUGUAUUGUCGAAGCAAAAUUUGAUCAUAAUGAAAGGGAAAUAAGUGUAGGAGAUGGAAAUACAAUACUUGCGCUCCCUUCGUUGAGAAAAUUAAGAUUUAAAGAUCUCCCCGAACUCAUCAGCUUCUGUUCAGAAAAUUAUUAUUCAACUUGGCCGGCAUUGGAAGAGUUAGACCUUGCGAGCUGUCCUAAAUUGACCGUCAACAGUACUGAAAUUGAAGCCAAUUUGCAGUAUCUUGGAGAGGUACGUUCAUUUGUGUUUAUGUUUUUUUUUUCCUUUAAUUUUAUUCAAAAUGAUAGUUUAUCGAUAACUUUUGUAAUCAGUCAUUUAUAUCACCUUGCAUUUGGCCUGUUGAGAUGAAGGUGAUGGUGGUGGUAGUGGUGGUGGUGGUGGUAGUGGUGAUGAUAGUAAUAAUGAUUCAGUAUCUUGAGCAAAUUUCUUUGUUUUAGGGCCUAAAAUUCAUUCUUCAAAUAAAAGUCAUAUCUCGUUUUGGUUUAUGAAAAAAUGGAUGCAANNNNNNNNNNNNNNNNNNNNNNNNNNNNNNNNNNNNNNNNNNNNNNNNNNNNNNNNNNNNNNNNNNNNNNNNNNNNNNNNNNNNNNNNNNNNNNNNNNNNNNNNNNNNNNNNNNNNNNNNNNNNNNNNNNNNNNNNNNNNNNNNNNNNNNNNNNNNNNNNNNNNNNNNNNNNNNNNNNNNNNNNNNNNNNNNNNNNNNNNNNNNNNNNNNNNNNNNNNNNNNNNNNNNNNNNNNNNNNNNNNNNNNNNNNNNNNNNNNNNNNNNNNNNNNNNNNNNNNNNNNNNNNNNNNNNNNNNNNNNNNNNNNNNNNNNNNNNNNNNNNNNNNNNNNNNNNNNNNNNNNNNNNNNNNNNNNNNNNNNNNNNNNNNNNNNNNNNNNNNNNNNNNNNNNUGAAGUCGUGGCAAUUGAAACAUCUUCCAGAACUGCGAGUAUUAUUAUAUCAUGAAGGUCCCACGCAUAAUUUUAGCCUCCAAAAUCUUACCCAUUUAAGAGUGGACGGGUGCACUAUGCUGAGGCGUCUCUUCUCAUCAACACUUGCUCGAAAUCUGUCGCAAUUGAAGUUGUUAGGUAUUGUUAACUGCUUGGAAUUAGAGCAAAUCAUUGAUGAGGAUGAGGAUGAGGAUCAUCUCCAACCUGUAUGUUUCCCAAAACUCACAAUGAUCACUGUCAGUUAUUGCCCCAAACUAAAGCGUCUAUUUCAUAUCAGCGUAGCUCCAAGUCUUCAAAAACUGGAGUCCCUAUUCAUAACAGCUAAUGAUGAAUUAGAAGAAGUAUUCUGGCAUAAAGAUGGAGCAAACGUCACGGAUUACAAUGAAAUUGUUAUGAAUAAACUUCAGGUGUUGGAAGUGACAGAUUUACCAAACCUCACCAACUUUUGGCCUGCGGGUUAUCAGAUCUCAAUUCCAUCUUAUAAGGUUUUUGUUCAUAAUUGUCCCAUGCUUCCUGAAAAUUCAGGAGAUAUAUUAUUCCAAGAAUUCUGGAGAACUUUAGUUAAUUGAUUCUAUACAUAGUAUUAUUACUAUUGUGCAUUCUAUGAAGCAUUUUAUGUUUGAUAGCGUAAUUUAAUAUCAUGUUAUAAUUAUAUUGGUAUGGAUCAAUGCUUACACUAUUAACUAAGGAUUAUUUUGCAACAAUACUAAUUAAUUCCCUAUAUAUAACGAGUCAUAUUCAUGUCUGGAUGCUUGGAUUUAAUAAAUUCAAAUUAUUAGAAUCAAAGUUAUACAGCACCUGAUUCUAAUUCUUGAUUUUGUAAAAUCAUGACGUCCGAACCUACGCACCCUUUUGCUUGUAAUAAAAAAAUAUUGUAUUUUAUGAAUAACAAUACUAUUGUACAACGUCACGUGACAGUAUUGCGUAUUAGCUUUCGUCUACUUGUAUCAUGAAGGUUGCCGAUGUACAGUGAAGCUAAGUUGGCAUUCUUCAUAUAUCUUUGGUAUCCCCAAACAAAAGUGCAUAAAUCGGCAUUAAUUCAUCAUCUUUUUCAGUACUCUGUAAAAUUUCUGAUUCAAAUUAUUUUAAAAGUUUCAACUUUUAAUAUUUUCAGGGGACGGCUUAUGUUAUAUAAUGUUUUAUUUCGGCCUUAUGCUGCAAAACAUGAGAAAGAAAUUGAUCUUAAUUUGUUGAAGCUGAGAAUUAAGGCCAGGGAAAUAGGUCUUCUGUUUUGGAAGAAGGCUGCCAUUUAUGGGCAAACAAGGUUUUUUGAGAUUUUGCAGUACGCCUCUUCUCACUCAACUUCACUGCCUAAAUCUGAUCAGGUAAUUUAACAACAUUUUGUAAGAUAUUUUGCUGCCAAUUUCCUCAUUAAGAGACAAAAAAUGUUUUGUUUUAGGAUUUAUGAAAAACGACAGAGAAGUAAGUGGAAAAAAAAUAAAAGAAAUUAUAGUGAAUUUUCUUUUUAUAUUACAAUAGGAAGCAAGUUAAACUACAGCAGCGGUAAGAAGCUACGGAAGAAGCAGGGCAUUUGCCAACAAAAUAUGAGGCUGCUGCUAAAAUGGAAACAGUGCCAGUAUCAUCAUCUUUCCAAGAUGGCAAUUUAAUUAAUUCCUUCAAUCAAAAAGGGGUUUCCACGGAUCAAGCUAUCCCGCAAUCAAGAAGCAAAUGGCCGUUGUUCAGGACUGCAGCAGCAAGCCAAUAAUAAAGCCCUUGUAUUUGUCUUCUGCCAUUAUGAAGAUGAUUUAUAUACGUAGAUGAUGCAAAUUGAACACCAAUUAAUAGUUAAUUAGUCUCCAUUGUUUUCUUGCUACCAAUUUUGUAUCAUAUAAAUCUCAUGGGACUAUUGAUUAACAAUAUAUAUAGUGAGUAGUAGUGGUUGGGUACUUUCAGUUAGAAGAAAAUUGUAACAUGCAAUAGUCAAUACUUAAUAACACAUUUAUGGUGUGUUUACUUGUGGGUUUGGGGAAUAAGAAUGAAGAAAUGAGAAUCAAACCUAUGUUUACUUGUCAAAAUGUAAUUUGGGAAUGGGAAUAAAAUGUGUAAGUCACACACAAUUUGGAAAUAAGGAAUGAGAAUCUUAUUCCUAUGGGGGGUUGGGAAUGAGAAUUAAACAUAAAUUUACCUUUCUAUCCUUCUAAUUUUUUCAUAUUUCCUAAAUUACCCUUAUUCAAAUCACAAAUAAUUUUAUUAUUUUAAAUGUAAUUAAUAAUAAUAAUUAUUAUUAUUAAAUUUUAUUAACUUUAUUAUUUUAGUUAUUAUUAAUUAUUUUUAUUUUUAUUAAUAUUAUCAUUAUUAACAAUAAAAUAAUGAUAAAAAUAAUAAUUAAUAAAAUAAUUAAUUUAUCAUUAUUGUUGUUGUUAUUAUUAUUAUAUUAUUAAUAAAAUUAAUAAUAACUACAAUAAUAAAGUUAAUAAAAUUUAAUAAUAAUAAUGUAAUUUUCAUUAUCUACAUACAUGUAUAAAUAUUAUUAUAAAAAUUAUAUUAAUUAAAAAAUAAGAAUAAUAAUAAAUGUUAAUAAUGAUAAUAUUAAUAAAAAUAAUAACAAUAAUUAAUAAUAACUAAAAUAAUAAAGUUAAUAAAAUUUAAUAACAAUAAUAAUAAAUGUUAAUAAUAAUACUAAUAAUAAUAAUAACAACAACAACAACAAUAAUAAUGAUAAUAUUGUUAAGAGUAAUGAUACAGCCACAAACUCUUGUACAAACUUAUCUUAUACAAACUGAUGUGGCAUUAAUUCAUUAGUUGAAUGAAAAUAUAAAACAAUAUAAACAAAUCAUGUGGGCCAAGAGAUAUUUAAUUCAACCAAUAAAUUAACGCCACAUCAGUUUGUACAAAAUAAGUUUGUACAAGAGUUUGUGGCUAUAUUAUUACUCUAUUGUUAAUAAUGAUAAGUUAAUUAUUUUUAUUAAUUAUUAAUACUAUGGGUAUUUUGGUAAAUUGAUUCUCAUUCCCAAUUCUCAUUCCCAUUUAUUUUGCCAGGUAAACAUAUCAAUGGCAUUCCAGCACAUUCCCAUUCCCAUUUAUUUUUGCCACAUUGAAAUCACAUUCUCAUUUCACACCAUUCCCAUUCCUAACUCAUUCACAUUCCACCUCAUUCUCAUUCUCAUGAAGUAAACGCAUCAUUAAAUUGCAGCAUGUACUAGCCUACUUAAAUUGUCUAUUCAUUUUUGUUCACGUUCGGAGAAUUAACUAAUCAACAAAUUAAUAUGUGACACGUUUUGUAAUUACAUGCCGAUAAUUUUUUAUAAGGUAAUUUAAUGCGCAAUGCAGCCAUUUUAGACACGAGGUUUGGAUGUAUUUCUCAUUGUUAUUAAAUAUGAGUUAGGAUCUCACUUUAUAUUGUUAUCUACUAAACUACUAAUCACUCAUGUUAAGAAGUAGCUCAAAUCAAAAGAACAUCAUAAUCUGUUAAAUAAAUGACGAGUUAUCUUAAAGUACAAUCUAAUUGAUUUUACCAUUUAUAGUGGAAGCAACAAGUCAAGUGCUCAAUUUUUAAAGGAUUAAAUUAUUUACACUAUAAAAUUAUUCUGAACAUUUAUUAUUUCAUGCAAUUAUUUACUUAAUUUAAAAAUUAAGAUUUUUUUUAAAAAUUUGAAUAGGUCUGAAUUAAAUGAAAGUCUGAAUAGCUCUAAGUUUUACUUUGUACAUUUUUUAAAAGACUUUAAAAAAAUCCUUACUAAUUAAAUCAUUUUAGCUAAUUUGUAAAUAAAUUCUUUUUAACACAAUUUGAAUUUCUUGAAAUCGUGUCUUUUCUGCCUUCUGAUUUUAUUGUGUUAAACAAAUCGAAUGGCUUUUGCCACGUAUGUUUCUCCCGUGCAUUUGGUUUAUUUCCCUUUCGAGUGAUGCAUCCUGCAACUCUUCAGCAAGAGAGUUUACUCGUCUUGCUUUCUUUCCCUUGAAUCAAGAGACUUUUUGAAAUAAAUUAUUUUAUUUAAAUAAAAGUAUUCGAAGUAAUUUUUAAAAUAUAAAUACCCAUUUUAUUUAUAAAAAAAACUAUAUUAAGGCAUGGGAAGGCCGUAUCUAAUCGGCUUGGAAAAUUGUCACAUGCAAUAGUCAAUAACACGUUUAAAUUGGAGCAUGUACUAGCUUACUUAAGUUGUCUACUCAUUUUUAUCCACGGGUAGAGAAUUAACUGAUCAACAAAUUAAUCUGCGACACGUUUUGUAAUUGUAUGCCGAUCAUUUUUUAUAAAGUAAUUUAAUGCACGAUGCAACCAUUUUAGGCACGAGGUUUGGAUGUACUUCUCCUUGUUAUUAAAUAUGAAUUAGGAUCUCACUUUAUAUUGUUAUCUACUAAACUAUUAAUCAAUAUGUAGCAGCUCAAAUCUAAAGAAAAUCAUAAUCUAUUAAAUAAAUCAUGAGUUAUUUUAAAGUACAAUCUAAUUGAUUUUGCCAUCUAUAGUGGAAGCAACAAGUCAAGUGCUCAAUUUUUAAAGGAUUAAAUUAUUUACAUUGUAAAAAUUAUUCUAAACAUUUAUUAUUUCAUACAAGAUAGAACCAUUCACUUAAUUUUAAAAAUUAAGGUUAUAUUUUUUUUUAUAAUUUGAAUAAUUUGAAUAGAUCUAAAUUAAAUGAAAGUCUGAAUAGCUCUAAAUGUAUAUCAUUGAGGACAUGUUUGUUUUUUUAUGACUAAAUAUAAGUGUUAAAUUAUUUGUCUUAUAAGCCAAAAAAAAACUGAAUUAUGAUAUUUUGGCAUUUAUGUCCCUAUAAGUAUUAAUAUAUAUUUGAUAAGUUAGAGAUGGUAAGUAAAUUAAAAUCAUUUUAUUAUUAAUUAUAACAUAUCUAUUUUUUUCAAUAUAUACAAUGUUACAGCUAAAAAAGGUACAAUGUUAAUUACAUUAUUUGUGUGUAUUAUAUGAUUUUUUUUCGUUCAAUCACACAAUUUAACAUAGAAUCAAUUAACAAUUUCAAGUAAAAUAGAAUUUUACAUAUAUUAUUAAUUGUAAAAGUUAAAAUAAUUAAGGAAUAAAAACAACAGCUACAUCCCAACAUAUUAAUUUUUGUUAAAAGUUUUGUUCAAAAUAGUUGUUAUAAAAAAAAAAAAAGAGCCCGAGAUGAGUACAAAGUCCAAAAAUAUAGAUUUUACAAAAUAAGUUGAUUCAAUCCUGUAAAAUCUCCACGAAAUAACGACAAUUGGAAAGAGUAAAAUAAAAAUUAGUUAUGUUUGAUUGGAAAUAAGCCUAUUAAAUAGGGGUAUUUUUGAGAGAUUGUAGUGAUUUUCGUUCAAACUUUUUUCAAUUCAGAUAAAAAUUAAGUUAUUUAACUUUUUAUAUUAAGUGCUAUAUUCUGAAAUUUAGAUAAAAUAUGAAAAACAAACUAGUAAACUUAAAAAAUGUUUGACUUCACACAUUUAACAGACAAGCUUUAAGUUUUACUUUGUAGACUUUUUAAAAGACAAAAAAGAAAUCCUUACUAAUUAAAUCAUUUUAGCUAAUUUGUAAAUAAUUUUUUGACACUAUGCGAAUUUGUUGAAAUUGUGUCUUUUCUACCAUAUGAUUUUAUUGUGUUAAACAAAUCAAAUGGCUCCUGCUGCGGAUUUUUUCCAGUGCAUUUUGUUUAUUUCCCUUUCAACUGUUGCAUCCUGCAACUCUUCAGCAGGAGAGUUUAUUUGUCUUGCUUUUUUUCCCUUGAAUCAAGAGACUUUUUGAAAUAAAUUAUUUUAUUUAAAUAAAAGUAUUCGAAGUAGUUUUUAAAAUAUAAAUACCCAAUUUAUUUAAUAAAAAAAAACUAUAUUAAGGCGUGCGAAGGCGUAUCCAAUCGGCUUGACGCUCAACCCUCCUAACCACAAAAAAUGCAGGUAUAAAAAAAAUUCAAUAGAGCACAUGUUAAAAAGAUGCUAUUUUUUAUUUUUUUUAUUUUUUGGGUAUAAUGGGGUUCGUAACAAGAGAUAAGGAUGGACAAAGUGGGGAUAGACAACCCCAUACAUUUCAUGCGUGAAAAAAGGGAGCAAAUUAGUAGGGGAUCAUUGAAAUGGUGACAUCCCAAUGGUAGAAAGUAGAGACAGAGCAUAAUUAGCUAAGAAAUCUGUGGUAUACACAUGAUUGACGGUGAUGUUAUAGUGUCGAUUCAUUAACAUAAGCUCAGGAACAAUUAAAGAUGUUAUUUUUUAACAUAAGCUCUGGAAUAAAAAUUAAAAAAAAAAAAACCACAUUUAAGAUUUAAAACACAAGUUGUCUUAAAUUAAUUCGAUUACAUGUGGCUAUUUGAAAUUAUUAAAAAUAAAUUCUAUUUUUCCCGCUUUCCCUAUCACUUUGCCAACGUGUUAUUUUCACAUUGGUGGAUCUAAUCUAAGUAGUGGCCUGAUUUGCAGCCUCGAAUUGAGCAUAUACAUUUUACUGAAUUCGACAAAAUCAAAAAUCGGGUGCUUACCAGGCAAUACAGACCAGCCACAAACUUUUAUUAGAUGAUUGCCACGUAGCGAAGAAUCAACGGUCAAUACCAGCUGGGAACUGACUAAGCCUGCGCUAUAAAGUCCACGCGGCAUGCAGAUACGGGCCGACCAAAAUGGACAGCAGACUCAAUCACCCCGGCCUCUGCUGGUCUCAUCUCUUCUCGUCGAACCAACCUCUUUUCUAGGAGGCUCUCAAACCGUCCCACGUGUCCUGACCACACAUAGAUUUGUGUGGUCACCAACCUCUGCCUUUAUCUCUCUCUAUUUCUAAGGACGUGUUUGGUCUCAUCUUCAAGGUGCAUUUCACAAUGAAACGAUGAAAAUAAAAUAUGUUAAUGGAUCAAUAACAUAUUAUGCUUAUUUAAUUUAAAUAUUUAAUUGAGAUAUUUACUGGUGGAUCACAUAUUAUUUAAGGAUAUUAAUUGAUUUUAUUAUUAAUUAUUAGUCUAUCACCACCUUAUAGAUCACACAUAAAAUCUUACAUCAGUUAAUAUCUUAAUUAAAUAUAUAAAGUGAAUAAAUAUAGUAAUUAAUCUAUCAUAAUUCUAUUCUACGAUUUAAUAAAAAUAUUCUCAUACAAAUCAUUUCAGCUGCUGUUAAAAUUAAAAAAAUUUGUCAAAACUUUUGGAAAUUAUAUUUUGCCAAUGUCAAGCUAAAUUACAUUAUAUUGAGAAGGAUAAAAGUUUUAGGCAAGUGAGAAUUGUUCUUUAUGACUUAUGCAAGUCAACAUUUAUCCGUUUAUACAUUGAUUUUGUUUGAAUAUAAACUCAAUUAAACGAUUAGGACAGGUUCAAUGCACUAGUUUCUCGUGCUUAAGACAUGUUCAAUAAAUAUAAAAGUAAAAUCAAUAUUUGGGGUUCAUUUUAAAUUUAUUUUUAUAUGGGUGAUGUAUCUUUUCACAAACGUGUAUAAGUAAAUAUAUUUAGAAUUUGGGGUAAAGAUCUUAUAUUUUUUUAUAUUGUAUAACACGUAUAAAGAUAUUACGUGUGAAUAUAAUACAUAUUAUAAUGUGCAUAUCAUAAAUUAAAAGAAAUAGUGAUGUUAUGUUUAUUUAAUAACAUAACAAUUCUAUGACUAAGUAAAAUUUCCUUACAUUUUCUUGGUAGCAUUUUGGUUCGAAUCAAAUCUAUCCGAAUCCGAUUUUUGAUGCCCAACCCUACAUGCAUGCCUUUAUUUUCAUAGGAAAAGUCAUAGCCACCUUGCAACAGCUCUUUCAAAUUUAAUGGUUUUGGUGCCAACUUUGGUGCUAAAGUCAAAAGUAAUAUAUUAUUAAUAAAGUGUUGGCUCUACUGGCAAUGUAGUCCCUUUAAGUGACUUGAUUGAGUUUGCUCCACAGUUCGAGUCGCAGGAAAAUCGCCUUUGUUGGGAGAACCUGUGCCUCUCGGUUCGAGGGGGACUUCUAAUCUGAAUUGUGGUACGGGCUUAAAAGUGCCUCCCACAGUUGGGACCCUCCCCAGAAUACCUCGUGGUCAAAACCAAAAAAAAAAAAGUCAAAAGUAAUAUAUUAAUUAAAUACCCAUUUUUUUUCAUAACAACCAAUUAGAGAAUUAUCAUAUUUGAAAAUAUAAUUUUACUUUAUAAAACCCAUCAAAAUGCCAAAACUAUUCUUAAUGUUUUUUCUUCUCUCAUCUUUUUCCUUCACUCUCUCUCUCUCUCUCUCUUUUUUAAUACAUAGAAAACUCUUAACAUCAAAAGAAAAAAAAAAUCUCUUGUACUAUUAUUAUACUCUUAUAUUAACUUGUUACAAUUCUUUCGUUAUUUACGCACAAGAAAAAUUCACUUCUUCAAUCUAUAGUCCUUUUACAUACGUGUAGUUUUUAUUAGAUCUAUACUUUAUAGAGAUUAAAAAUAAGGGGAAAUAAAUUAUUAAUUAGAUGGCGUGUUUGUGACAGAUUGCAGGUUUAAUUUUCGUUUAUUUCAUCAAAAAGAGCAUCAUUUUGAAUUGAGAAAUCAUGAUCUAGUUUGCUUUUUGACAGCCGAAUUAUGAAAUGAAGAAGAAGGUAGAUUGCUUUUUUGCUUGUGGUGGCAAUAAUUUAUUUUUGACGGUGAUAAUAAUCCAGCAAAAAGUCGAUGUAGUCGCAGACAAGAUGAAGUAGACACUUUUUCUCUUUGAAAGUAACCCAUUUUCACUUUUUUUUUUCCCGCAAUCCAAAAUAGUAGAUUGGAAAUCUAUUAUUUUCACUUUAUUGCAAUCCAAAAUGGUAGACGGAUAAUCUUUUGAAUAAUAGAUUGGUAGUCUAUUAUUUUCACUUCCACCUCCGGCAUAUUUCUAGAUGUUGUAACCAUGUGGUUGAUGUAUUGGCGAAAUUUACUCUUCAAGAUUCUAAAUUCUUAGUAUAUUUGGAGGAUUAUCCCAAUUUUUUAGAAUGUUAUCUUUAAGUUGAUUUCUGAAAUAAAAUACUCACUUUUAUUAAAAAAAAAAUGGUAGACAAGUAGUCCAGCAAAAGCCUUAAAAUGUCCUUUGCUUUACUCAAAAUUAUUAUUUUUUUAAAUUAUAUAUUUAAUCAUUAUUAAAUAAAAGACUUUUUAAGUUAUUAAGUUAAGAGAUAAAUUAAAAGAUAAGUAAAACACAAACUCUAAUGCACAUUUUAUCACGUAGUAUAUUAAAGCACGUAUUUUCUUAUCUUUUGACUUAAUCUUUAGGUUACUAACUUAAUACACACACAUAUAUGGAAUAUAUUGAGAUUUCAUAUAUAAAUAUUUAUAAUACAAUCCAGAGAUAUAUUAAACAUUAAUUUUAAAAUAUACUUCAAAUACAUUGAGAGAAAUCUACCUUUAUUUAAAGAGAAUAAAGGGCCUUUUUUUGACUUAAUAACUCAAUUGACUCAAUUUUAAUUAGUUAAGUUAUUAAGUUUAUUUACUUUUUAACUUAAUAAAAAAUUUUAGCCAUUAAGUCAUUAAGUUAUUUUUUUAGCUUUUUACUUAUUCUAAGAGGUCUGAAUAAUAUUACUAACGAUAUUUUCCAAAGUGUCAUAUCUAAUUAAUUAAUUUUCAUUCUUACCUAAAUAAAAUUUUAUAAUUAGCAUUAUUACCCAUCUUUAUAUAACUUGUGAUAAUAUAUAGUGGUAAACUAUUAUUAUUUUUAUCUUUUUUAUUUUCUUCAAAUUAGCAUUAUUUAUUUUUAUAAAUUUUUAUAAAUAUUUUUCAUGUAAAAACAUCAUAAACUAUAAUAAAAUUGAUUAACAUAUAUAAUAUAGAAUAUUAAAGAGUUGUAUUGAAUUGAAUAUGAUUUACGUUUUGGUAAUAUAUUAUCUUAUUUAUAUUUUUUGAGAUGUUUAUUAUUUAUUUAACAUUUAUAAUUUGUAAGGGUAUAAAUGUAAAAAUCUUAGUUUUCAAAUCUUUUGAAGUUAAAAAAAAACUUAAUAUUUAUUUUUAGCAGUUUAGACAAAAAAAAAAGUAUAUCAUUUAGAUUUGGAUAUUCAACUCUAUUUAGAAUUUAAAUUAAAUCAAGUUAUUCAAAUUUUAGAUUAAAAAAAUAAACACCACCAGAGCCUAAGAGUAAGAUUCAAAUUCAUUCCAAAGAGAAAUUUAUAAUAAGAGGAAGAAUAUUGUAGAUAUAAGCUCAUUCUGUUAACACUUAACAACCCAAAAGAUACCCCAAAUACAAACAGCAAGUACAAGCUUCUUUGAAAUCUUUUGAAUUUCUUUGAAUUUUUUUUAUUUUAAAUGAGUUUUACCAAAUUACACUCAACCAGUCAGAAAAUACCAAAUGAGAACACAAACGGGUAGGGAAGGUAUUUGAUAAUAUGGAAAUACAAUGUAAGUGAGAAGACAUUAAACCUCAGGGAAAGUAUCUAAAAAUUACCUCAUUUCACUUUCCACUUUUCAAUUCACACUUAUAUAGAAUUAAAAAAAAAAGGAAAAGCAAAGAAAAGAAAAGUUAAGCGACGAAGUCGAUAUCAAUUUGUGAAGCAUGACUCGGACCUUGCUACCAAAGCUCAUUCAUUUUUCAUGCUCUCGGAAGUUACCAGAUCUGUGAGUUGCUCUCCUUUCGGUAUGUGACUUUUGCUUCCUAUAUCACUUGCAGUUCAACUUUUUUUUUUCUUUUUUCCUUUCUGAGAACUAAAGAUUUGAUAGAGAGCAAGAAUUUAUAUGAGAUGUUAAUUAGCUAAAUCCGAUGUUGUUUUCAUCUGAUGUUUAUUUAUAUUGCUAGAUGCAGCUUUUAAUUUUCUCCAAACUUGUGUGACUCCCUAACUGGAGCUUUCUGCAGUAAUUGAGGUAAACGAAGAAGGUAUGAGACAUCGUUUCAUAGGCUCUUAAUUUGAUGUUUGUUUCAAUUCCAAUAUAUUAUGUUAAUUGGCUAGAUCCGAUAUAUAUAUAUAUAUAUAUAUAUAUAUAUAUAUAUAUAUAUAUAUAUAUAAUCAGUAUUAAAUAAAAGAUAUCUUAAAUUAUUAAAUUAAGAGGUAAAAUAAAAAAUAAAUAAAUUAUUCACUUCAAUAUAUUAUAUUUUACUAUGUAAUAUGUUAAAACACAUAUUUUUCUUAAUUUUAAUUUAUUUUUAACUUAAUAACUUUAAAGAUCUCUUGUUAGAACAUUACAAUAUAUAUAUAUGUAUUUCUUUUUGUGUGUUAUGAAAUCUGUUGAGAUUUUAAUAAAAAUGUUUAUAAUAUAAUUAAGAGAUUUGUUGAACAUUAAUUAUAAAAUAUACCUAAAAUUUGUGUAGAGAAAUCUACUUUCAUUUAAAAAGAAUGAGUUUAAUAAGAAUGAGAUUUAAAUUCAUUCUAAAGAAAAUUAUAUAAAAGAAAAGUGAAAAUCUUAUAUUUAAUUAAACUCAUCCUCUCAACAACCCGAAAGAUACCCAAAUGCAAGCAGUUUGGACACAAAACUUGUUAUUUUUUUUUUAAAUUUUAAAUCAGUUUUACCAAAUUACCCCUUAUGACAUGAUAGAUGAUAAGGCUUAUUAAUUUUUUUUAAAUUUUAAAUCAGUUUUACCAAAUUACCCCUCAUGAUAGAUGAUAAGGCAUGUGUAUCAUUUUCACUUUCCACCUUUCAAUUCUCACUGAUAUAUCAUUUCAGACCUUUAUACCAAAGUUCAAUCAUUUUUCAUGCUCUUGAAGUCACCAGAUCUGUCAUCCGUGAACUAGCGACUCUCAUUUCGGUACGUUACUUCUGAGAACAAGGAGUUAUAUAUGAUGUUAAUUAGCUAGAUAUAUGCGAUGUUGUUUUGAUCUGAUGUUUAUUUAUAUUGCUGGAUGCAGCUUUUAAUUUUCUCCGAACUUGUAUGACUCUCUAACCGGAGCUUCCAGGAGUAAUUGAGGAUAUAUAAGGAAGAAGGUAUGCUAUAUUAUUGUUUCACAGGCUCUUAACUUGAUGUUUGUUUUAUGCCAAUUUUGCACGUUGGAUUAAAAAUAUACAGAUAAAAUGGUCGAUAAUUUUUAAGUUCUAAAUAUUUUAUGGUGCGUUUAUUUUAUGGGAAUAGAAAUAGGCUCACGGAAAUGAAAAUAGGCUAAUGGAAAUAGGCUGAAAUGAGAAUGAGAUAAUGAGAAUAAUAUUUUAAUAUUUAUUUAGCAAAAAUAAAUUAGAAUGGGAAUGUGCUGGAAUGCCAUUAAUGUGUUUACUUGGCAAAAUAAAUGAAAAUAAGGAAUGAAAAUAAGAAUUAAUUUAUUAAAAUAUUUAUAGUAUUAAUAAUUAAUAAAAAUAAUUAAUUUAUCAUUAUUAACAAUAUUAUUAUUAUUUUUAUUAUUAAUAAAAAUAAUAUUAAUAAUAACUAAAAUAAUAAAAUAAAUAAAAUUUAAUAAUAAUAAUAUUAUUUAUUAUUAUCAAUAUUAUUAUUAUUAAAUUUUAUUAAUAUUAUUAUUUUAAUUAUUGUUAUUAUUAUUAUUAUUAACAUUUAUUAUUAUUAAAUUUUAUUUAUUUUAUUAUUAAUUAUUGUUAAUAGUAUUUUUAUUAAUUCUUAAGUCAAAGAUGGUUGGUUAGAGUCAAUCACCUCCAAGUCAGUAUUGUUGACCAUACUUUAAAAAUAAAAUUAAUUUUUCCUUGAAAUUUUUUCAUGAGUGCACGUGCAUAGGAUGUUGAAGCCGUCUAAUCUCUAAGGUCCCGUUUGGGAUUACUUUUGGGAGGGUUAAAAAUGAUUUUAAAAAUUUAAAGUUAAUUUUGGUGUUUGGUAAAAAAAAAUCAAAACCACUUUUGCCAUAAUCAGCUCCUCCUAUAGCUAAUUUUGAAAAACAGGGAAGGAGUAACUUUUAGAUUCUGAUUUUGAGAAUCAAUUUUAUCAUUUAAUAUAAUUCCAUAAAUAUCCUUAUAAUUAUUACUUAAACCCGAAAUUAUCCUUAUUUAAAUUGGAAACAAAAUCAAUAUUUUAAUAAUUUUUUAUUAUAAUUAACGCACACCUUUCGUUUACCAUAUUUCUUCAUAGUUUGUAUAACUAAAUAUACAAGGCACAAAGUUAUAAAAAAUGCUAUGUUUAUGCUGCUUGGCAAGAAGUUAAUAUGCCAAUUCCACAUUUUUAUAAAAAAAAAAAUUUAUUUGAUUCAACGAGAUAUUGUACGUGUACAUUUUUAUAUGUAUAAGUAAAUUUCAUCUUACAUUAUGUACAUUUUAGUCAUUUAUUUUUUUACAGCAGUUUAACAAUAAAAUUUACCAAACAUCCAUAACUGCUUUCAAAAUUUACAGUACUUUUAAAAAUAAAAUUUACCAAACACUUAACUUAUUCUCUUCACAGCUGAUUAUUUCAACAACACGGCUAACAGUAAUUAUUUUAAAAGCUGCAGCAUUACCAAACUAGCCCUAAUACUCUUUUCAACUGUUAUUAUGGGUGGCUUUUCAGUUUUCAUCACUCUUUCCAUAUUCCCUCAUGAAACUACCUGUCUUCACUCACAAUUCACAACGAGCUCAUCGAAAAAAUAAAUAAAUAUGGGGCGGACAAAGUUCAAAUUUAUUUUUUUGACCCUUACCUCCUCCCAGUCUUGAACCCACUACGCGAAAACCACCCCCUCGCAACGAACGCUGAGGCUUAUAUAAAUUCUAUUCAAUUUGAUGCUUGAUAUUUUUGUUUAAAAAUUUCUAAAGUAAUCUAAUUUCAAUAUAAUCCACCAUAUAGCACGUUUACCUUGCUUCUUCUCUUCUGUUUUGCAGCUAAAGUCUACUUAAAGCUCGGUGCUUGCAUUAUUUUGUUCUUAUUGAUCAAAGUUGGCGCUAAUAAACAGAAAAAAGUAAUUAAACGUUCUCCUUCGAUCUUGUGAUCAAGCCUCGUUGUUUUGCUUAUAGCGUACUGAGAUCAACUUUGUUAAUUGCAGAUAAAUAGCAGGUAUUGCAUCAAAGCUUGGAGAAUUAUUGGUGGAUGCUACCGUAAAACAAGCUCGCUAUCUGUUCUGUUUCAACAGCAUUGUUAAAGAACUUGAGGAUAAAGAAACUAAUUUGAAGGAGGCACAAGAUGGCAUCAAUGAAAGAGUAGAACAAGAACGACAAAUACACCGCGCCAUUGACAUUGAGAAAGAUGUAGAGAAGUGGCUGGCGGAUGUAGUCAAAGAAAUGGCCGAUGUCCAAACGUUGAAAGCAAAGAUAGCUGAAAAGAAGAGUUGUCUUAAUGGAUGGUGUCCUAAUUGGGGUUGCCAAUAUUGGAUGGGUAGAAAAGCAUCAAAGGAGACUAGCAAGUUGUCUAAUCUACAUGACCGCGGCAAAUUCAACACGGUUGCCCGUCCUAAACCUCUUCCAUCAGACAAAGAAAUUCCUAUUCCAAGAUUUGUUUCUUCUUUUGAGACUACACAAUUGACUUGCAAUCUGAUUAUUGAAGCACUGAAAAAAGACAGCACAAAAAUGGUGGGAUUGCAUGGUCUCGGUGGAGUAGGAAAGACAACCCUGGCAAAAUUUGUUGGCAAUCAACUUCGGCAAGAAAAGAUUUUCGAUGAGGUGGGGAUUGCCACUGUAUCUCAGGAUCCAAACAUAAUAAAUGUUCAAAGUGAGCUGGUAAAGUCGUUAGGUUGGGCGUUAGAUGAGGAUGGUGAAAAAAAGAGAGCAGACCGAUUGCGCAUGAUGUUCUCUGAGAGUAAAGGCCGCAAGAUACUCAUAAUCCUUGAUGAUGUCUGGAAAGAGCUCGACUUGGCGAUAGUAGGUAUUCCCGCCAAUUGCUGCAAAAUCCUUCUAACUACUCGCUUGCAGCAAGUUUGUGAUCGCAUGGGUUGUGACACGCGGAUUAAACUAGAUGCUCUAGACCAAGCAGAAGGAUUGGAUUUACUAAGAAAGCAUGCCGGCAUUGACGUUGCUCAUAAAACCUUGACUGAUGUUUCAAAACGAGUUGCUGAUGAAUGUAAGGGGCUGCCUUUAGCUAUUAAAGCUGUUGGAAGUGCACUAAGAGGAAGAACCGCUGAUGAAUGGAAUGUAGCACUGGAUAAACUACAAAAUGCAAAACUCGAUAAGAUAGAAGGUAUUGAUAAGGAUUCCCAGGGCGUUUACGGUUGUCUCAAAUUUAGUUAUGAUUAUUUGAAUGGUGAGGAUUCCAGGUCAUGCUUCUUGUUGUGUUCGCUGUUUCCAGAAGAUUAUAAGAUAGAUUUGGAGGAUUUGCUUGGAUAUGCAGUGGGGUUGGUUUGGUAUCAAGCUGAAUCAAUCGAAAAAGCCAGAAGCCUACUGCGUGGAACGAUCAAAGGACUCAAAGAUUCUUCAUUGCUGUUAGACACUGAUGAUGACAGAUUUGUGAAAAUGCAUGACGUAGUUCGCGAUGUAGCCAUAUGGAUAGGCUCAGAGGAGAAGAAAUUUUUUACUAGGAAAGGUAGCAUUGGAUUGGCGGAACGGGCAAGGGAAGAAGGCCUAGAACAAUACGGAGGAAUCUCUUUGGUGGGAAAUGGAAAAGAAGAGCUUCCUAGUGGUUUGGAAUGCCCUAGCCUUCAUAUUUUGCGAUUGGAGAAUACUGAAUAUGACAACAAAUUGCAAGUUCCAGAACAUUUUUUUAAAGAGAUGUCAGCAUUGAAAGUUGUCACUAUAAUAGGUGGAGUUCUUUCACUUAAAUCACUUCAAUUCCUCGCCAAUAAACUUCGAGUUCUGCAGUUGAUUCGAUGUGAGGUGACUGACGCGUCUUUCCUUGGAAAGUUAAGGACACUUCAAAUACUUUAUCUCGAGAAGUCUCCCAUUGAAAUUCCAGAUGAAUUUGGGGAUGAGCUUAGUAGAUUGAAACUUCUGUAUAUUGCUACUGCCUCUAUUUCUCCCAUUACGAUAAAUAAAUUUCCUCAAUUAGAAGAAUUUUAUGGUGUGAUAAAAAAUUGGGAGGUUGAAGGGAUGAGUUCAGAAGAAAGUUACGCUGGGCAUGCUGAGUUGAAGUCCCAACCCGACGGAUCCGUUGUAUGUCUUCCAAAAGACUUUUCAUUUCAGAAAUUACAAAGGUAUCGCAUCAGUGAAGUUGACAGCUUUGGUUAUGAAAUUGAUCGAGGGACAAGGUACUUAUCCAUUGAGAAGAACCAUCCUAAAGCGACGCUAGUUAUUUUUUCAGCAUUGUAUCCAGAAUUGGAAAAUCUUUAUCUAAAGAGGGUAAGAUGUUGUCAUAAUAUUGUGCCAAGCAUAGAUGAAAGGGGAUUAAAUGAGUUGACUGUUCUUGACGUCACCGAUUGUAAAGAUUUAGAAUGCAUAAUGGAUGCCUCUAAGUCGCCGCAUGGAAAGAGUGGGAAUCCUGUGAUGCUCUCAAGAUUAGCAAAGUUGUAUAUGUCAGAAUUACCAGAACUGAAGUGGAUAUGGAAGGCGCCCGCCCAACAUGUGAUCAGCCUCCAAUCUCUUACAGAAUUGAGUGUGUCAGAGUGCAACAACUUGACUUAUAUCUUCACGUUGUCACAAGCUCGAAGUUUGGUGCAGCUUAAAAGUCUGGAAGUGAGUUACUGCAAGAGACUGGAAUGUAUCGUCGAAGCAAAAUUUGAUCAUAAUGAAAGGGAAAUAAGUGUAGGAGAUGGAAAUACAAUAUUUGCGCUCCCUUCGUUGAUAAAAUUAAGAUUUAAAGAUCUCCCCGAACUCAUCAGCUUCUGUUCAGAAAAUUAUUAUUCAACUUGGCAGGCAUUGGAGGUGUUAGACCUAAGCAGCUGUCCUAAAUUGACCGUCAACAGUACUGAACUUGAAGCCAAUUUGCAGUAUCUUGGAGAGGUAUGUUCGCUUGUGUUUACGUUUUUUUUUCUUUCUUUUACUUUAAUUUUACUCAAAAAGAUAGUUUAUCAAAAACUUUUGUGAUCAGUCAUUCAUAUCACCUUGCAUUUGGCCGUGUUGAGAUGAAUAUGAAUCAUGGUGGUGGUAAUGGUGAUGAUGACAAUAAUAAUGAUCCAGAAUCUUGAGUAAAUUUCUUUAUUUUACGACCUAAAAUUCAUUCUUCAAAUAAAAGUCGUAUCUUGUUUUACUUUAUAAAAAAACUGGAUGCAAGCACUUGUAAAGUAUAUAUAUUAUUAGUCCAAUUCAAUUCAUUAGUUAAUUUAACCAUAGAGAUAGAAUACUAAUUUUUCUCAAACAAACAGAUGUCACUGCUAUAUCACUUCACAUGAUCUCUUUCAACGAAUUUCUUUUUUUUUUUAUAAAUUCCUUACUUUCACAGAGUAUAAUUAUUUUAUAAGUUUACAUGUGUAGUAUUAUAUUUUUGUGUGGAUUUUUUUAAGUAUUUGUCGCUUAAUUGUCAAUUUGACAAUCCUAGCCGCUAACAAAUUUCAAUUACAUCAAGUUAUUUAUUUAUUUGUCUCAGAAAUUACGAAUUCUACAAGUAGGCAAAUGCACCCAUUUGCGAGACACAAUUGACGCUCUGUUGAAGCAUGGCUUUAAAAAUUUGGAAGAAUUGGGGAUUGAAGAACUUGGAGUACAUGUGGCAUUUCAAGUGGAAGCUAUUAUCGCUGAGGGACAAGAAAACAAACUAUUCCCAUGUUUGAAGACGUUGUGGUUGGAAAACCUUCGAGAACUGCAAGUAUUAUUAUAUCAUGAAGGUCCCGCGCAUAAUUUUAGCUUGCAAAAUCUUACCGAAUUAACUGUAAUGGGGUGCACUAAGCUGAGACGUCUCCUCUCAUCAACACUUGCUCGAAAUCUGUUGCAAUUGGAGGUGUUAGACGUUCGCGAUUGCUGGGAAUUAGAGCAAAUCAUUGAUGAGGAUCAGGAUCAGGAUCAUCUGCAACCUGUAUGUUUCCCAAAACUCACAAGGAUCGAUGUCAGUAGUUACCCCAAACUAAAGCAUCUAUUUCAUAUCAGUGUAGCUCCAAGUCUUCAAAAACUGGAGAACCUAUACAUAGGAUUUAAUGAUGAAUUAGAAGAAGUAUUCUGGCAUAAAGAUGGAGCAGACGUCACGGAUUACAAUGAAAUUGUUAUGAAUGAACUUCUAGACAUGAGACUGGUAGACUUACCAAACCUCACCAACUUUUGGCCUGCGGGUUAUCACAUCCCAUUUCCAUCUGCAUCCCAUAAAGCUGUUCGUAAUUGUCCCAAGCUUCGUGGAAAUUCAGAAGGAGAUAGAUGAUUCCAAGAAUUCUGGAGCACAGGUCAACUCUUGAGAACUUUAGUUAAUUGAUUCUAUACAUAGUUGGUUCAUGUUUUCGUUUGUGAUAGCUAAUUGAUCUAUCCUAAAAUCAAAAUUUCUCUUUCAAUAUAUAUAUAUGUGUUAUAUUAUAAUUUUCUCUGUUUGUUUUUUUUUAAAAUCAUUUUAUUCAUCAUUCAUUCGUAUUUAAUGCCCAAUUUAUUGGUUGGAUAUAUAGGCACAGCAAACCACAGACGAGGAGACGCCAAUGAAGACGCCAGCGAAGAAGAAGAAAAAGAUGGCAGCGAACAUAAAUGACUUUAAAAAAUUCCAAAAAUCCAAAAAAAAAAAAAGAUUUGUUCAGCGUGUUCAGUUCACCCAAGAAGCUAACAAGCUUUGUUCUAUACUUGCUCUGCAGAUGGAUGGUUAAUAUUUAGUCCGUGCUCAAAUUGUGAAGACUAAAUAUUAACAAGCUUUGUUCUAUACUUGCUCUCAAGAUUUGCUCAACUUCAAAAUUCACCUCUUCUGUUUGUGAUCAUUGUUUCUUCAAUUGUUGAAAUUUUGACAAAAUUGCUGGCUAAAUUGAUGGCCUUUUCGAUGGGCAUUAAUUGGGCUAAUUUAGUAGUAGCGCGCAUUUUCUAGACGGCGAAGAAAGUGUGUAAUGUUGUGACAGCAAUAAUUUUUAUUUUUUAAGUUUGCGAGAGUAUUGGAUAUUUUGGGAUUUUAGGAAGUGAGACUUCAUCAACUCAUAAAUGAGUGGCUACAAAUGUGUCUUUCGCGUUCUCUAGUACCCCGUACCUUUUGACUAGAGAUGGCAAAAGUCCGGGUCGGGUCCGGGUUUGGGGCUGCCCGGGACCGACCCGGAUAUCAAAUGUAGCUACCCGGACCCGCACCGUGCCUGGAAUUUUUCUAUGCGGGCCGGGCACGGGUUUUUUCCGGGUUUUCUCUACCCGAAUUUGAGUGGUGAAUGGUGAUGAAUUUGAGUGGUCAUAAUAUAUGAGACAAAAUCAGAAACGCACAUAUUACAUAUAGCUUCGAAAUUCACUGCAAACCCAACUUGCAAAAACCAUCAUUUCUCACAACACGCACAUAUUACAUAUAGCUUCGAAAUUCACUGCAAACCCAACUUGCAAAAACCAUCAUUUCUCACAACACACAAAAAUUAAAAGGCAAAUCACACGCCAAAAAAGAAUAAAUAAAAGGUGUCAAAACAAUUGUUUACUUCUAAAUUCUAACAAACCAUAACAGUCCAAAAUCAAAACAUCUUAACUAUAAGCAAACAUCUAAUGGAAUUAUCAAAAUUAAAAAAAGGAAAAAAUUCUAUAAUAAAUUAUUACAACAUCUUAACUAUUUCAAUUUCAAUCUACUUUAUAAAUUUAAGUAAAUAACAAAUAAAAAUCAUUUCAAUCUAUUAUCCACUACCUAAAUUUAUUCAAUUUCUAAACUAAAUUCAUUCAAUCCCUAUAAAAAAUUUAAAUUGAACAUCACAAUAAUCACCAAAUAAAUCUAAAUAAAUGUAGCAUACUAACACCCAACAUAUUACAUAAUACAUAUCAUAAUAACUCCAAUAUCAAUAACCAACAUAACAUAUAAAAAUCCCAAAAUAUCAAACACACAUAAUUCAUAAAAGAGUUUAAAAUAACAGAUUAUGUCAAACAGCUCGACGAUUGUGCCCCAUCAUCAUCAUCAUCAUCAUCUGAAAUUAACUCCUCCCCAGCAAAAAUCUCAUUUUCCGGAACUCCACCUAAUAACAAAAAUAACAGAUUAAGAUUUAAAAACAUUUUGAGCAAACAAAUAAUACGAUAACAUAAUUCAAAUAACUUUAUACCUCGAGAAGAAGCCCAAAUCCAAUUUUGAGCACACAUUAAGGAUUCCAAAGUGUUAGGAUUAAGUCUACUACGAUGCGGACUCAGAGGCAACAGUGGAUACAUGAAUGGCUAAGAUAUCCUUGGCCAACUCGCCAAAAAUAGGAUAUUGGCCUGUGUGCAUCUUCCAAAAAGCUAAAAUAUCAAAGUUCGGAAUAAUAUCCAAUAAUUCAUCAUCUAAAUACCUAUCCAACUCCGACUUAGUCACCUUAACACGCUUAUUUUGACUUCGAAAUAUUUCAAACUCAUCUACAUCCCAAUACUUAUUCGCAUUCGAAGAAGAUUCCAAAGGAACAUCAUCCAACCCAACAUCCUGCCUAUCACUCAAAACCAUAGCUUUCAUUUCAUAUUCUUUCACUAAAUCAUGACAAAGCUUAUGUGCAUGCUCAAUAUGCUCAUCCGCUGUAUCACCAUAGAUCUUUGGGAAAUAAAAAUCAAUCAACAACAUCUUAUAUCUCGGAUCAAGAACUACAGCCACAACUAACAUCGGAUGAAUUUCAUUCCAAUAUUUUUCAAAUUUAUCAACCAUUUUAUCAGCCAUAAUUCUAAUAGCAAGAUUAUCGGAAGUGCGCCACCCAUUAAUCGACAUUUUCAUUUUACAUAUUAACGGAAAGAACAAAUUAGCAGUAGGGUAUUUUGUACCCGAAAACAUCUCCGUUAACAUGUAAAAUGAUUUCAAAUGCUCCACCAUUGUGGCUGCCAAAUCACACUCACUAUCACUAGGCAAGCUCUUAUAUUGAGACUCACGCUGUUGUAGCCGAGAAAAAACACUUUUAUACAUUAGUGCUACAUCAAGCAUGGCAUAAGUAGAAUUCCAACGAGUUGGACAAUCUAACUUCAAACUUUUUUUACAAUUAAUUUUCAGUUGCCUAGCAGCUAGCUCAAAAGAUUCAAAUCGUUUUGGUGUUUGUGUCCAGUAACUAACACUCUCCCUAAUCUUUCCAACCCCGUUUUCUAUAACUUUCAACCCAUCCCGCACAACCAAAUUCAGUAUAUGAGCAGUACAUCUCAUAUGAAAAAUUUACCAUUGGAAAUUAAGGUACCGAGAUCAAACCUUAAUAACAAUUUCUCCACCAUCGCGUCAUUAGUGCUACAAUUAUCCAAGGUCAUUGAAGACAACUUUCUAUCCACGUUCCAAUCCAACAAACAUUGCACCAACUCAUUAGAAAGGGCCUCAGCAGUAUGAGGGCUCGGAACAUAAAUAAACCUAACAAAUAUUCAAGUGAUAAUAUUAAAUACACAAACUUAAAAUAUUAUAACAAUUUAAACUUAAAAGAAAUCAAAUAUAAGUAAUAAAAAAUUGAAAGAAAAAUUAAGCAAAUAAAAAGUUAUAGACAAAUUAGAAAUUACCUUAAAAUUCGGUUAUGCAAUUUCCAAGAGUUGUCAAUAAAAUGUGCUGUGACAACCAUGUAUCCUUUUUUCUGGUUACUUGCUAUCCAUAAAUCCGUAGUAAUAGCCACUCUACCUUGAUUUUUCUCCAACAUAUGCAAAGUCUUAAUCUUCUCAAUAUGAUAAAGUUUCGAAAUCUCACUCUUUAAUGUAUUUCUACUCAUUGGCUUAACCACGGGGUUGGUAUGUGCCAUCAUUUCUCUAAAGCCUUUAUAUUCCACAAAUUUAAGUGGAAGCUCAUGCAUCACCACCAUCCUUGCGAUCAAACUCCGCAAAACUUUUGGAUUAAAACUAUCAAAGCCAAUGUCACAACUCCCAUCCUCUCUUUUGAGCACUUUGAGACUUCCUUGAAGUGCUUCUUGUAUUUUCGGUUGACUCCUCGAAAAACAAGAUUUCACGUGCCUAUUCAAGCUCGUGGUCCCUAAUGUGUAUUUGGCUUCUAAAAAUGCAUUACAGUGCAUGCACUUUGCCUUUUUUUCUCCAUUAAUAGUUACUUUUGUAAAGUGAUCCCAAGCUGUAGAGACUUUCUUUCCCUUUUUAUCUUUAAGAGUUGACAGUGAAAUCUCCUCAACCUCAUUAUCAUUGCUAUCUUCAAAAUUCCGAGAUAAAUUUGGAGCAUUUGACGAAUUAAUUUCUAUAUUGUCUGACUGUGACUGUGACUGUGACAUCGCACUGCUGUUUAUUAUAAAAAAAAAUAAUGAAUAAUUAUAAAUAAUCAUGCAAAUUACAUAGUUAUAAUAUUAUAUAACAAAAUUAACUUACAAGCAACCUAAAUUAACUUACAACCAACCUAAGCAACCUAAUAAAGCAAAGAAGAAAGACCAGACAGAUAAAUAAAUAAACAACUGAGAAAUUUCUGGAGCAAUUGCAUGAACAUGACCACAAUACAAAGAAAAUUAACAGGUUUAAUUAAUUAAUAGACUGAAGCAAGUAUUUUGUCACUGUCUGAUUAUAAUUAGAAAAUAUUGUAUAGUUUUAAAUUUGUGUUUUAAAAUAUAUAUACAUGCCUGCACAGAUAUCAAACUUAUCUCAUUCUCAACUAAGCAAACUUGUUAGUUUGGUAACAAUCAUGCUUAUUUCGCCACUAGGCCGUAGUUGAGUGGUGAAUCCAUGUCUUUAUACUAGUGAAGGUAUAUAAGGUAAGGAUUAAAAAAGAAAAAAGAAAAAAAACAAUAAACACCAUUUGAAUAUUCCCCUGGUCACAAGUCUUUUGGUUGCGAUUGCAUUGUACUUUAGUCCCAGUAGCUGAAAUUUCCCACUUUACAGAAAUUCUUAAUGUGAGCCAAUUCUUUUUUAGUUUUUAGAUGGCCCCUGGUGCAUAAUCACAAAUAUGCAGAAGAGAUACUUGCCAGUACUACUCACUUUGCAAGCUUACGAAAUGAACAUAUAUAAUUUAUGUUAUCACAAUAUUAAAGUAAUUAUCACUACAGCUCAUGAUCACCACAUACAAGUUACUUAUCAUUUCUUAAAAGUGCUGCUCACACAGGAAAUAGUGUUCCAUUUGAGGUUCAUAGCCUCUUUGGUUCAAGUCUAGCUAGCUGCAACUUAAACAGGAAUUAAUGCCAGAAAUUGUUCAAUUGAUCAGCUGUAAAUUGUGAACUAUGAGCUAUAUCAAAACGAUUGCAGUUUGCAGAUAAAUGAGAUCAAACGUAUUCCAAACGAAACACCCAUAUGAAAUAGAAAAACUACUACAACAGCAUAAUGAGGGUGUUUAACAUUAGCUCUUUCUUAUUAUGUUCUGUGCAGCCAUUAACAACGUAAACACUUCCAGCAUCCAAGAAAAUAAUUAAGCACAUAUUGAAAGCAAUUUCAUCAUUUUUUUUUGAAAAAACAGCCAAAAAAAAAAUUACCUCGUGGGUCGUGGCUGUGGGUUGCAGGCUUGCAGCUGAUAUGGUGACAAAACAAUGGAGUGAGAGUGUGAGACCAACUAUGGUGGCGAACGCCGUCGCACGGUGGCUGCCGCUGAGAAGCUAACCAAACAGUGAAGAGCUCUUUGACGGACUGACGAGUGACGACUGUGCUUUGCGGUUCGUGGAGGGAGAGGCGCGGUCACUGUCAAUACUGCAUCGCCAUCGGUGAAGGAUAGGUGGUGGCUGCUGGUAAUGGUGGAGAGACGAAGGGAGGAGGUGCCGAUUCUGAUUUCUGAGACUUGUCUCGAAUUCGCGAUUUAGGGUUGGUUGGCCGGUUGGGUUUGGGGGAAAUUGGGUAAAGGAAAAAUGCAAUUUUCGUUUUAUAUUUUCCUCUUUUUUUUUUACUUAAUAAAAAAGCGGGCACGGGUCCGGGUUCCGGGUAUUUGGUGCUGUGACCCGACCCGUGCCCGGAAACUGCCGGGCAUUGAAAAUCAAUGCCCGGAUCCGCUUUUUUCAUGCAUGCGGGCCGGGUUUUACCCGGACCGCGUGUGCCGGGUCCGGUCCGGAUCCGGUCCGGGCGGGCUUUUCUGCCAUCUCUACUUUUGACAGCCACGCAUUCUUCUUGGCUCGUGGAAACUGGAAACUCAUUUUCUCAAAUAAGACUUUGCUUUUAUGCUACAAGCCUACAAGUGCUUUUAAUAAUUAUUUUGUUAGGAGAAUCGGUGCCUGCUUUGGAGCCCAACCCAUCAAGAAAUAUUAGUGAAAUUUUUUUUAUUAUUUAGUGUAAUGGCAAACCAAUUUUCUUUUCAAAUUCUAAAUCUUUUGUAUUUAUAUCAAAAAAUUUUAUUAUCUCUAUUAUAUGGCACCCACAUAGUAAUUAGUGAAUAUAUAAUGACAACUGGAAAUCAUGGCUAGUUUUAGAAUAUUGAACAAGGUUACUAUUUAUAUAUAGAUAAUUGUUCAGAACAUAAGGCAUGUAAUUUUUUUUAUUUUUCAAAUUAAUAAAUAGAUAAAUAAGAAUUGAGGUGCCGAAUUCUUAAUUAAUUAGUUGUUCCAGUCUUGAAUAUCCAUUAAUGUUAAUGUGGAAUGUGCAUUUGAAAGAGCAUUUUGUAAAAUGAUUUUACUAAGCUAGGUUUUUUUUUAAUGAUAUUUAAGUUCAUUUUUUCUAUUUUUUUCUCAAAGCAUUUCAAUCAUUUUUCGUUUCACAAAUCAUUCAAUUAUGGAUAGGGUUAUUUACACUCUAAAUAUUACUUUAAACAUUCCACUACUCUACACACUCAUACAUAAUUUAUAGAAAAAUUAUGUUUUACUUUAUAUACUCUUUCAAAUUCAAAAAAUAUCAUAUCUUAAACUAUUUAAGUUACUCAAACUUUAUUUCAUAAAUAGUACAAUGAUAACAUGAUAAUAUUUCAUAAAUAGUGCCCAAAAAAAAAGAUAAAGAAGGAGAUGAAGAAGACAAAGAGAUGAAGAAGAAGGGCCAAAGCAAAUAUAAAAAAUUUCUUUUAUAUUACUUUUGUUUUAUUUUAUUUUUAAAAAUAAAAAAUAAAAUACAUACUUUGGUCUAGCUGAGUAGCUGCUUGCUUCCUCGAGAUCACAUGCAUGUUUCACUAAUUUGCUUUUGUUGCUUCACUUGCCACCUCAUGCUUGACGCCUCUUUCUUUUUUGCUUUAUUCGUGAAUAUAUAUAUAUAUAUAUAUAUAUAAGGUUUAAAUACAAUGGAUACUACUUCAUUUUUCAUAUUUUUGGAGAAGCCGAAAUCAAAAGCAAAACAGAGAGAAGAAAAAGAAAUCGGGAGAAAGAAAGAAAAGGAAAGGAAAAGAGAAAGAAAAAGAAAAGAAGAAAAGAAAUAAAAGAAAACAGAGAAGCCAAGAGUGAAGAAAAAUAGAAAAAUGAAAGAAAAGUAGAAAGCAGAUUGAGAAGCCGAGAGUCAAAAAGAAGUUAGAAAAGAGAAAUUGAGAAGAAACUUUAAGAAAAUGAAACUAUGCAGUUAGAUUAAUAUUUAGUGAAUUAGUGAGCAAUAGAUAUAUAAAGUUUAAAUAGCUAUAUUACAGUUUUCAUGAUACAUAUCGGGUAUUUUAUUAAUUAUAAUAGUUAAUUUUUGAACCCUGUGUUUUAGGAGAAAUUCAUGUUUCCAGAAACCCACAAGAGCUUGAACGAACCCGACAGUAAACUAGACUCUGUGAAUGGAUACUAUUAUUACUAUUAUGCAUUUUAUGAAGCAUUUAUGUUUUAUAGUAUAAUUUAAUAUAUGUUAUAAUUAUAUGCACAAAUUUUAUAUAUUUGAUUGAUUCAUAAAAUGUAAUUGUCAAUCACCAUAUAUGUAUUCUUUCACAUCAGCUCUGUACAUGCAGAUUGAGAGUUAGGUUACUCUACCCGUAUAAUGUAGUUAAAUUCAGCUAGUAUUGAGAGGUUUUUCCCCUGCCUACUCGUGCGAUGACGAUUUUGGUGAGUAUUAAGAGUUAUUUUCUCUGAGUACUAUUUGUUGCAGUUUUUCCAUUUAUAUAUGUAUGAUUUUAUGUCAUACGAUUAUGUAUGAGCUCUAGUGCAUUACUUUAUAUAUAUAUAUAUAUAUAUAUAUAUAUAUAUAUAUAUAAUUAUAUUCACUCACUGAAUCGUAAACUCACUAUUCUCCUAUUUAUCUCAUUUUUCCUAGGUCUUGGUUGGAUUUCAUGCAAUUCGAUUUUUAAUCAAUUGAGGUUAUGCCAUGACACACAUUGCUGCAUGACUUGCAUUUUGAGCACGUUUAUGUCCAUAUGUAUAUAUUUAAGAUAUAUGUGUAUAUAGUGAGUUUUAAAUUGUACGAAAUUUGAAUAUGUUUAUUAUAUGUUUAUAGAAAAGGCCAAUGCCAUUUUUAUAUAUCCAUGAAUUAGUUUAUGUCGUGAGUUUUAAAUAUUAAACCACGUGAUUCUCCUCGAAUCCGACAUAUGGGUCGGGCGGGUUGUGUCAUUCAUCCACCAUGAUUUUACAAUUUAUAUCAUUCAUCCAAAAUAUCUUUAAUUUCCAAUAGAAAAUUGACAAAACCAUAGCAAAUUGAUCAUUUUGCUCUUAAAAGCCAAUUUAACGUAAAAAGACAAAGGAAAAUUAUCAACCACAUACUUUUAGUUUACCCUGUUAUUGAAAACACUUAAAAGUUUGAAUUUAUUUAAUUUUUUACUCUAAAUUUAUAAUUGAUAUCAACUACCCACAAAAAAUGUUAACACUGUUAGAAUAUUUUAUAGAAUUUAAAUAAAGGUCAUUUUAUCCUUGGAUUCAAGGGCAUUUUUCAAUUUGCACCAUAAAUAAUAAAAUAAAAUCAAGCUUUUUAUAACUAUUAAAUUGAAUUUGAGGAUUCGAUUGAUUGGGUGCUUAUCAAUUAGGGUUUAGAGUAAUUAGUGGAUUUAGUUUGAUUAUGUGAAUUUUUGAAGAUAAAUUUAGAAAAUAAAUUAGAUUUUUUUUAAUUAAGAAAAAAUAGAGUUUUAAGUAUAUUUAAUUGAAUAUUGGUUAUAAAAAAUGGUUUUUUAUUUUGAUAUUGAAAGCUAUUAUUUUAUUUUUUAUUUAGCAUAUUAAAUGUUUAAAUUAUCCUUGUGACGUCAUUAAUUAUAAAUGGCAGAUGAUAUUUUGGUGGAUAGCUAACAAAUUAUAAACUCAAGUUGGAAAAUUGAACAAAUUCAGAUUUUGUAGUAAUUUUUAUAGCAUGGUAAACUUAAGUUGGAUGUCUGAUAAUUUCUCUUUUAUUUUUUAUCCAGUAUGUUGAAUGUCUGAAUUAUCCUUGUGGCGUCAUUACUUUUUUAGCAAAAGCGAAUGAUUUGGUGGAUGAAUGAUGCAACUUGUAAGUGUUGUAUUUUUAUGACAGUACAAUUCAAGGGUGGACGGUUAAUAAAUUCCCAAGUUUAUAAGUUCAUAAAAAUAGUUUUAACCAUUUUACUAUCUUUUUUUCUUUGAAUAGCUUUACAAAUGAACACAAUAAUAAACAUUACGUUUGGCACAUAUGUUAUUUUCUUCGAGUUUGCUCAUCAAUUCAAAGUGUUAUCGCACAAGUUACUUGUAAUAAGAUAUAAAUGCAACACUAAGUCAUAAAAGAGAUGAAUAAUUGAACCAAAAAAAAUUGAGAUCAUUUCCUUCUUUUAUGUUGAGGUUUCAAGCCAUCGCCAACAAGAAACCACACGGUUAUAUCAAAGAACAAGCUUAAUAACAAAACUAGAAAAAUCCUUUCACAGGAGGUUGACAUCACAGCCUUGUGAUUGACAAAGAUAGCUUCCCUCGUGCUGAGCUCGAGCUCAAAGCAUGGACUGAAGAUGGGCUCGUAAUGGCUGCCGGUCACAAGAAAUAUAAGCAUCUGCUUGGGAUUCAGUUUCAUCUGGACAGCAUUCUUACCAGCGAAGGCAAGACAAUUGUUCGCAAUUUUAUCAACAAUCAUUCAGAUAACGCCAAUUCAGUAUAACUAAUCUAAUAGUUAUAAGUAUUUAUUUAAACUUAUAAGUGUUUUUUAGAUUUUUUAUCAUUAUUUAGUUAUUUUUUAGUAGAACUUUUGAGAUUAAAUAAAUUAUUUUACCUCCACUAAUAAAAACUUAAAUUUUGAGCCAUUUUUUUAAAAGGUUAGAAUGUUUAAAAUAUUAUUUAUUUAUUAAAUAAAUUAUUUUAUUUUUUCAUAACAUAACUUUAAAAAAUUAUUAAUUAAAGUAAUUUUUUAAUUUUUAAUAAAAACUACCAAGGAGAAUCAAAUAACUACAAUUUAUUUUUAAAAGAAAUAUACUAAUAAAAAUAUUACUUAAAUAAACUUUGUUUUAAAAAAAAUACUAAAUAGAACCUUAGGCUAAAAAAACUUAUUUUAAGCCCAGCUAAAUAGAACAAGCCAGAUAUUGAACAGCUCCUGUUUUGGCGCCAAUAUUGGUAUGGAUCAAUGCUUACACUAUUAACUAAGGAUUAUUUUGCAACAAUACUAAUUAAUCCCUUACAUAUAACGAGUCAUAUUCAUGUCUGGAUGCUUGGAUUUAAUAAAUUCAAAUUAUUAGAAUCAGAGUUAUACAGCACCUGAUUCUAGUUCUUGAUUUUGUAAAAUCACGACGUCCGAACCUAGGCAUCCUUUUGCUUGUAAUAACGAAAAAUUGCAUUCGUUGUAUUGUAAUUAUAGGGUUUUGGUCGCUGUUUUCACAGUUGGUGAGAGGGUGGGCGAUACCUUUAUUUCAUGGUAUGUGUAUUUUUAUGAAUAACAAUACUAUUAGUACAACGUCACGUGACAGUAUUGCGCAUUAACUUGAAGGUAAUACUAAGUUAAUGGUUCAUAUAUCUUUGGUAUCCCAAAACAAAAGUAAUAAAUCUGCAUUAAUUCAUCAUCUUUUCAGUACUCUGUAAAAUUUCUGAUUCAAAUUAUUUAUAAAGUUUCAGCUUUUAAUAUCUUCUGGGGACAGAUUAUGUUAUAUAAUGUUUUAUUGCGGCCUUAUGUUGCAAAACAUGAGAAAGAAAUUGAUCUUAAUUUGUUAAAGAUGAGAAUUAAGGCCAGGGACAUAAGUCUUCUGUUUUGGGAGAAGGCUGCCAUUUAUGGGCAAGCAAGGUUUUUUGAGAUUUUGCAAUACUUCUCUUCUCUGUCUCACUCUGAUCAGGUAAUUGAACAACAUUUUGUAAUCUAUUUUGCUGUCAAUUUUCUCAUUAAGAGACAAAAAAUGUUUUGUUUUGGGAUUUAUGAAAAACGACAGAAAAGUAAGUGGAAAAAAAUAAAAGAAAUUAUAGUGAAUUUUCUUGUUAUAUUACAAUAUAUAGGAAGCAAGUUAAACUGUUUUUUAUUCUGCUGCAGCAGCAUCAACAAGCUACGGAAGAAGUUUUUUCAAACAUUAAUAUGAGGCUGCUGCUAAAAUGGAAACAGUGCCAGUAUCAUCAUCUUUCCAAGAUGGCAAUUUAAUUAAUUCCUUCAAUCAAAACGGAGUUUCCACUGAUCAAGCUAUCCCGCAAUCAAGAAGCAAAUGGACGUUGUUCAGGACUGCAGCAGCAAGCCAAUAAUAAAGCCCUUGUAUUUGUCUUGUGCCAUUAUGAAGAUGAUUUAUAUACGUAGAAGAUGCAAAUUGAACACCAAUUAAUAGUUAAUUAGUCUCCAUUGUUUGCUUGCUACCAAUUUUGUAUCAUAUCAAUCUCAUGGGACUAUUGAUUAACAAAAUAUAUAGUGCGUAGUAGUGACAGGGGACUUUCAGUUAGAAGAAAAUUGUAACAUGCAAUAGUCAAUAACACGUUUAAAUUGUAGCAUGUACUAACUUACCUAAAUUGUCUAUUCAUUUUUAUCCACGUGUAGAGAAUUAACUAAUCAACAAAUUAAUCUGUGACACGUUUUUGUAAUUGCAUGCCGAUCAUUUUUUAUAAGGUAAUUUAAUGCGCGAUACAACCAUUUUAGGCACGAGGUUCGGAAGUACUUCUCAUUGUUAUUAAUUAUGAAUUAGGAUCCCACUUUAUAUUGUUAUCUACUAAACUACUAAUCACUCAUAUGAAGAAGCGGCUCAAAUCUAAAGAAAAUCAUAAUCUAUUAAAUAAAUGACGAGUUAUCUUAAAGUUCAAUCUAAUUGAUUUUGCCAUCUAUAGUAGAAACAACCAGUCAAGUGCUCAAUUUUUAGAGGAUUAAAUUAUUUACACUGUAAAAAUUAUUCUGAACAUUUAUUAUUUCAUACAACCAUUCACUUAAUUUUAAAAAUUAAGAUUUUAUUUUUUUUUGCUUUUUUAAUUUGAGUAUAUCUUAAUUAAAUGAAAGUCUAAAUAGCUCUGAAUGUAUGUGCUUGAGGACAUAUUUGCUUUUUUAUGACUAAAUGUAAGUGUUAAAUUAUUUGUCUUAUAAGCACAAAAAAAAUGAAUUAUGAUAUUUUGACAUUUAUGUCCCUAUAAGUAUUAAUAUAUAUUUGAUAAGUUAAAGAUGGUAAGUAAAUUAAAAUCAUUUUAUUAUUAAUUAUAAAAUAUCUAUUUUUUUCAAUAUAUACAAUGUUACUGCUAAAAAAGGUACAAUGUUAAUUACAUUAUUUGUGUGUAUGAUAUGAUUUUUUUUUUCGUUUAAUCACACAAGUUGACAUAAAAUCAAUUAACAAUUUCAAGUAAAAUAGCAUUUUACAUAUAUUAUUAAUUGUAAAAGUUAAAAUAAUUAAGGAAUAAAAACAACGGCUACAUCCUAGCCCAUUAAUUUUUGUUAAAAGUUUUGUUCAAAAUGAUUGUUAUAAAAAAAUAGUUGUUAAAAAAAAAAGAGCCCGAGAUGAGUACACGACGUAACGGCAACUGAAAAGAGUAAAAUAUAAAUGAGUUAUGUUUGAUUAAAAAUAACGUAUUAAAUAGGAGUAUUUUUUAGCUAUUAUAAUUAUUUUCGUUCAAACUUUUUUUAAUUCAGAUAAAAGUUAAGUUGUUUAAUUUUGUCUAUUAAGUAGUAUAUUCUAGAAUUUAGAUAAAAUAUGAAAAACAAACUAGUAAACUUAAAAAAUGUCUCACUUCAUACAUUUAAAAAACAAGCUUUAACUUUUACUUUAUACACUUUUUAAAAUAUCUAAAAAAAUCCUUACUAAUUAAAUCAUUGUAGUUAAUUUGUAAAUAAAUUCUUUUUAACACAAUUUGAAUAUCCUCGAAUCGUAUCUUUUCUGCCUUAUGAUAUUAUUGUGUUAAAAAAAUUAAAUGGCUUCUGCUACGGAUGUUUUUCCCGCGCAUUUGGUUUAUUUUCCUUUAAAUUGUUGCAUCUUGCAACUCUUCAGCAACAGAGUUUACUUAUCUCGUUUUCAUUCGCUUGAAUCAAGAAACAAUUGUGUAAAAUUGUAAGAUUAAGUAAAUAAAUAAACUCGAACAUAAGUUUAGUUAUUAUUAUGAACCAGAAGUUUUAAGUAUAAGAAUUAUAAAUCAUUAUUACAUUAGUUAUAAUAGAUUAUUCAUUUGUUCAUAACAAUAAUUCAUGUGAUGAGAAUUUUUUAAAUAAAUUAUUUUAUUUAAAUAAAAAUAUUCGAAAUAAUUUUUAAAAUAUAAAUACCUUACUUAUUUAAAAGAAAAUAUUAUAUUCAGGCAUGCGAAGGCUACAUUCAAUUGGAUUGACACUCAACCCUCCCACUAACAAAAAGUGUAGGUAUAGAAAAAACUCAACCAAAGAUAUGUUAAAAAGAUAUAGAUAUAUAGAUAUUUAGUACAAUGGAACUCUUAACAAGAAAUAAGGACGGAUAAAACAAGGAUAAACAACCUCGUACAUAUCAUGUGUGAGAAAAGGGAGAAAAUUAGUAUGGGGUCAUUAAAAAAUCAAAAUGGUGACAUUCCAAUUUUUUAUAGAACAAAGCUUAUUUUUAGCUCCUUGCACGAACUGAACACGUUGGACAAAUUUAUUUAUUUUUUUUGGAUUUUUGGAAUUUUUUAAAUUCAUUUAUGUUCACUCCCAUCUUUUUCUUCGCUGGCGUCUUCAUUGGCAUCUCCUCGUCAGUAGUUUGAUGUGCCUAUACAUCCAACCAAUAAAUUGGGCAUUAAAUACGAAUGAAUGAUGAAUAAAAUCAUUAAAAAAAAAAACAAACAGAGAAAAUUAUAAUAUAACACAUAUAUAUAUUGAAAGAGAAAUUUUGAUUUUAGGAUAGAUCAAUUAGCUAUCACAAACGAAAACAUGAACCAACUAUGUAUAGAGUCAAUUAAUUUAAAGUUCUCAAGAAUUACCUCUGCUCCAGAAUUCUCGGAAUCAUCUUCUCCUUAUGAAUUUCCACGAAGCUUGGGACAAUUACGAACAAGAACUCUAUAGGAUGCAGAUGGAAAUGGGAUCUGAUAACCCGCAGGCCAAAAGUUGGUGAGGUUUGGUAAGUUUAUCAGUUCCAACUUCCGAAGUUCAUUCAUAACAAUUUCAUUGUAAUCCGUGACGUCUACUCCAUCUUUAUGCCAGAAUACUUCUUCUAAUUCAUCAUUACCUAUUAUGUAUAGGCGCGACAGUUUUUGAAGACUUGAAGCUACGCUGAUAUGAAAUAGAUGCUUGAGUUUUGGGCAACUAAAGACAGAGAUCGAUGUGAGUUUUGGGAAACAUACAGGUUGGAGAUGAUCCUCAUCCUCAUCCUCAUCAAUGAUUUGCUCUAAUUCCAAGCAAUUUGAAAGAAUUAACUCGUCCAAUUGCAACAGAUUUCGAGCAAGUGCUGAUGAGAAAAGACGUCUCAGCAUAGAGCACCCGUCCACUCUUAAAAAGGUAAGACUUUGCAGGCUAAAAUUAUGAGUGGAACCUACGUGAUAUAAUAAUACUUGCAGUUCUCGAAGGUCUUCCAAUUGCAACGUCUUCAAACAUGGGAAUAGUUUGUUUUCUUGUCCCUCAGCGAUAAUAGCUUCCACUUGAAAUACCACUUGUACUCCAAGUUCUCCAAUAUACAAUAUUUCCAAAUUUGUUAAGCCAUGCUUCAACAGUGCUGGAAUCGUGUCACUCAAAUGGGAGCAUUCGCCUACUGUUAGAAUUCUUAAUUUCUGAGACAAAUAAAUAAAUAACUUGAUGUAAUUAAAAUUUGUUAGCAGCUAGGAUUGUCAAAUUGACAAUUAAGCGACAAAUACUUAAAAAAAAAUUACCUACAAAAAUAUAAUACUACACAUGUAAACUUAUAAAAUAAUUAUACUUUGUGAAAGUAAGGAAUUUAUAAAAAAGAAAAAGAAAUCCGUUGACAGAGAUCAUGUGAAGUGAUAUAGCAGUGACAUCGUUUUGUUUGAGAAAAAUUAAUAUAGUAUUUCUAUGGUAAAAUUAACUAAUGAAUUGAAUUUGACUAAUAAUAUACAUACAUUACAAGUCCUUGCAUCCAUUUUUUUUUAUUAUAGAGUAAAACGAGAUAUGAAUUUUAUUUAAAAAAUGAAUUUUAGGCCCUAAAACAAAGAAAUUUGCUCAAGAUACUGGAUCGUUAUUAUUAUCAUCACCACUACCACCACCGUCAUCUUCAUCUCAACACGCCAAAUGCAAGGUGAUAUGAAUGACUGAUCACAAAAGUUUUUGAUAAACUAUCUUUUUAAGUAAAAUUAAAGGAAAAGAAAGAAAAAAACGUAAACACAAGCGAACAUACCUCUCCAAGAUACUGCAAAUUAGCUUCAAGUUCAGUACUGUUGACGGUCAAUUUAGGACAUCUCUUUACAUCUAACUCUUCCAAUGCCGGCCAAGUUGAAUAAUAAUUUUCUGAACAGAAGCUGAUGAGUUCGGGGAGAUCUUUAAAUCUUAAUUUUCUCAACGAAGGGAGUGCAAGUAUUGUAUUUCCAUCUCCUGCACUUAUUUCCCUCUCAUUAUGAUCCAAUUUUGCUUCAACGACAUAUUCCAGUCUCUCGCAGUAACUCACUUUCAGACUUUUAAGCUGCACCAAACUUCGAGCCAGUGACAACGUGAAGAUAUAAGUCAAGUUGUUGCACUCUGACACACUCAAUUCUGUAAGAGAUUGGAGGCUGAUCACAUGUUGGGUGGGCGCCUUCCAUAUCCACUUCAGUUCUGGUAAUUCUGACAUAUAUAACUCUGCUAAUCUUGAGAGCAUCACAGGAUUCCCACUCUUUCCAUGCGGCGACUUAGAGGCAUCCAUUAUGCAUUCUAAAUCUUCGCAACCGCCGACAUCAAGACGAGUCAACUCAUUUAAGCCCCGUUCAUCUAUGCUUGGCACAAUAUUAUGACAACCUGUUACCCCACUUAAAUAAAGAAUUUCCAGAUUUUGAUACAGUGCUGAAAAAAUUCCUAGCGUCGCUUUAGGACGGUUAUUCUCAAUGAUUAAGCACCUUGUCCCUCUAUCAAUGUCACAUAAAGCGUCUAAGAUCUUUCUCCAUCUAUCACAGUCAUAUGAAGUGCCAAAUUCCACGACGCCAUACCUUUGUAAUUUCGGAAAUGAAAAGUCAUUUGGAAGACAUACAACGGAUCCGUUGGGUUGGGAGUCCGACUCAACACACCUAGCGUAACUUUCUUCUGAACUCAUCCCUUCAACCUCCCAAUUUUUUAUCCAACCAUAAAAUUCUUCUAAUUGAGGAAAUUUAUUUAUCGUAAUGGGAGAAAUUUUGCCAGUACUAAUAUACAGAAGUUUCAAUCUACUAAGUUUAUCCCCCAAUCCAUCUGGAAUUUCAAUGGGAGACUCCUCGAGAUAAAGUAUUUGAAGUCUCUUCAACUUUCCAAGGAAAGACGCGUCAGUCACCUCACAUCGAAUCAACUACAGAACUCGAAGGUUAUUGGCGAGGAAUUGAAGUGAUUUAAGUGAAAGAACUCCACCUAUUAUAGUGACAACUUUCAGUGCUGACAUCUCUUUAAAAAAAUAUUCUGGAACUUGCAAUUUGUUGUCAUAUUCAGUAUUCUCCAAUCGCAAAAUAUGAAGGUUAGGGCAUACCAAACCACUAGGAAGCUCUUCUUUUUCAUUUCUCACCAAAGAGAUUCCUCUGUAUUGUUCUAGGCCUUCUUCCACUGCCCAUUCCGCCAAUCCAAUGCCAACUUUACUAGUAAAAUAUUUCUUCUCCACUUUGCCUAUCCAUAAGGCUACAUCGCGAACUACGUCAUGCAUUUUCACAAAUCUGUCAUCAUCAGUGUCUAACAGCAAUGAAGAAUCUUUGAGUCCUUUGAUCGUUCCACGCAGUAGGCUUCUGGCUUUUUCGGUUGAUUCAGCUUGAUACCAAACCAACCCCACUGCAUAUCCAAGAAAAUCCUCCAAAUCUAUCUUAUAAUCUUCUGGAAACAGCGAACACAACAAGAAGCAUGACCUGGAAUCCUCACCAUUCAAAUAAUCAUAACUAAAUUUGAGACAACCGUAAACGCCCCGGGAAUCCUUAUCAAUACCUUCUAUCUUAUCGAGUUUUGCAUUUUGUAGUUUAUCUAGUGCUACAUUCCAUUCAUCAGCGGUUCUUCCUCUUAGUGCACUUCCAACAGCUUUAAUAGCUAAAGGCAGCCCCUUACAUUCAUCAGCAACUCGUUUUGAAACAUCAAUCAAGGUUGUAUCAGCAACAUCAAUGCCAGCAUGCUUUCUUAGUAAAUCCAAUCCUUCAUCUUGCUUUAGAACACCUAGUUGGAUCUGCGUGUCACAACCCAUGCGAUCACAAACUGGCUGCAGGCGAGUGGUUAGAAGGAUUUUGCAACAAUUGUCUCUAUCACCAACGGGAAUACCUACUUUUUCCAAGUCGAGUUGAUUCCAGACAUCAUCAAGAAUUAUGAGCAUCUUGCGGCUUUUACUCUCAGAGAACAUCAUGCGCAAUCGGCGUGCUCUAUCUUUUUCAUAUGUCUCUGUUAAUUCCCAACCCAACGACUUUACUAGCUCACUUUGAACAUUUAUUAUGUUUUGAUCCUGAGAUACAGUGGCUAUCCCUACCUCAUCGAAAACAUUUUCUUCCCGAAGUUGAUUGCCCACAAAGUUCGCCAAAGUUGUCUUUCCGACACCACCAAUCCCAUACAAUCCCACUAUCUUCGUGUUGUCUCCUUUCAGUGCUUUAAUGAUCUGAUAGCAAGCCGAUUCUGUAGUCCCGAAAGGAAUAAAAUGUCUUGGUAUAGGCAAUUCUUUGUCUGAUGGAAGAGGUUUAGGACGCGCAACUGUGCUGAAUUUGCUGCGGUCUUGUAGCAGAUCGGACAGCUUGCGAGUCUCCUUUGAUGCUUUUCUACCCAUCCAAUAUCGGAAACCCCAAUUAGGACACCAUCCAUUGAAACAACUCUUCUUUUCAUCUAGAUUUGCUUUCAAAGUUCGGACAUCGGCCAUUUUUUUGACUACAUCCGCCAGCCACUUCUCUACAUCUUUCUCAACUACUAUAGCGCAAUGUUUUUGUCGUUCUUCUUCUACUUUUUCGUUGAUGCCAUCUUGUGCCUCCUUCAAAUUAGUUUCUUUAUCCUCAAGUUCUUUAACAAUGCUGUUGAAACAGAACAGAUAGCGAGCUUGUUUUAUGGUAGCAUCCACCAAUAAUUCUCCAAGCUUUGAUGCAACACCUGAUAAAAUAUCCAUGCUAUUUAUCUGCAAUUAACAAAGUUGAUCUCAGUACGCUAUAAGCAAAACAAGGAAGCUUGAUCACAAGAUCGAACGAGAACGUUUAAUUACUUUUUUCUGAACGCACGUUUAUUAACGCUAGCGUUGAUCAAUAAGAGCACAAUGCAAACGCCGGGCUUUUAAGUAGCCUUUAGCUGCAAACAGAAGAUAAGAAAUAAGGUAAAUGGUGGAUUAUAUUGAAAUUAGAUUGCUUUAGAAUAUAUCUAGCUAAUUAACAUCAUAUAUAAGUCCUUGCUCUCAGUCAAAUCUUUCAUUCUUAGAAAUAAUACCAUAAUUCCAAAAAUCAAUCAGAUCUCAUACCUUCUUCGUUAUAUAUCCUCAACUACUGCUGAAAGCUCCAGUUAGAGAGUCGCACAAGUUCAGAGAAAAUUAAAAGCUGCAUCUGGCAAUAUAAAUAAACAUCAGAUCCAAACAAAAUAGCAUAUAUCUAGCUAAUUAACAUCAUCUAUAACUCCUUGUUCUCCGUCAAAUCUUUCAUUCUUAGAUUAAAAAAAAAAAUUGAAAUAAUAACUGUUAAGUGAUAUAGGAAGCAGAAGUAGCGUACCGAAAUGAGGGCGGCUAGUUCACGGAUGACAGAUCUGGUGACCUCAAGAUCAUGAAAAAUGAUUGAACUUUGGUGGAAAGGUCUGAAAUGAUAUGUCAGUGAGAAUUGAAAGGUGGAAAGUGAAGUGAUACACAUGCCUUAUCAUCUGUCAUGGGGGGUAAUUUGGUAAAACUGAUUUAAAAUUUAAAAAAAAAAUUUAAUAUGAAGUUUUGUGUCCAACUGCUUGUACUUGGGGAAUCUUUCGGGUUAUUGAGAGGAUGAUUUUAAAUUGUUUAAUUAAAUAUAAGACUUUUACUUUUCUUUUAUAUAUUUUUCUUUAGAAUGAAUUUAAAUCUCAUUCUUAUUAAAUGAAGGUAGAUUUCUCUACACAAAUUUUGGGUAUAUUUUAUAAUUAAUGUUCAACAUAUUUCUAAAUUAUAUUAUAAAUAUUUUUAUUUAAAAUCUCAACAGAUUUCAUAACACACAAAAAGAAAUACAUAUAUAUAUAUAUUGUAAUGUUCUAACAAGAGAUUUUUAAAAUUAUUAAGUUAAAAAUAAGAAAAAUAUGUGUUUUAACAUUGUACAUAGUAAAAUAUAAUGUAUUAAAGUGAGUUAUUUAUUUUAGGAAAAUGCUACUUUUUUCGGGUCAAACCCCGAAACUCAUCCAAACGACGCCGUUUCAUUUUUUUUUUUCCUCUUUCAUUCUCCCUAAACGACGCCGUUUUGGCUAAGGCAAAACCAUUGAUUUCUCUUUCUCUUCCGUCUUCCCCUUCCUCUCACAGCCAUUGAAUGCCCAGCAAAUUCAUAUCUCACAGCCAAAUUCAGUGACAUACACUUAGUAGGUGCAAUCGCAAAGCAUCUGAUUUUGUCCCUCUCAAUGUUCCCCAACUUGUCCAGAUUCUGAACCACAAUCAACACCAACAAUGCCACCACCCCUGCCCCCAAUGAAUGCCCAGCAAAUGUCAAAGUAUAAUUUGGCUUCCUGUCAACCAAGCCCCUUAAAAAUUCACACUCGGCAUCGAAAACCCACCUUGCAGCCUUCAAUGACCCAUUGUGAACAUAUCCACCAUCAAACUUUUUCUGCCCAAGUUUGUUAUCCACAACCCAAUCUGGAUUGAUUAUAGAAGAGAAGAGAACGAGGAGACUAUGCAGGUAUCCUGUAUUUUAGUUCGAUGAAGGAAAAUGGAACGAGGCAAACGAAGGGGCAGCUGGGUUCUGAAGAGAACGAAGAGAAGAGAUGUAUUGACUACUCUGUAAUUGUUCUUUUUAUCAUGGAAGGAAAUGGAGACAGUUUCUGCAACUGGUGUUAUAUUUUGCUCUUCGUUUUUUUGGUCAGUAGUGCAUAGAUGAUAUGGAUAUUUGGUCAUGAACAAUAGGUGGUUGAUUUGUACUUCUGUGCAUAGUGUAUAUUUUCCUUGUCUGAUUCAGUGCUUUUUUUCAUGAAAUGUAUGUUUACUGUCAAGGUGCCAAGGCUGAUGGGAGUUUCUCUAUGCAUCUGGUGUAAUCAUCUACAAAGCUGAUGUAGUAUCUAUAUCCAUGUAAAAAGGAGGGCAUGGGAGAUGGUCCCCAAAGGUCAGUAUGUAUAAGCUCCAGGGGUACUGAGGUUUUAAUUCCAGUUGAAUAAAAAGAUAACUGAUGAAGUUUUCCAUACUGACAUGCAUCACAGAAAUCAGGUAAAGUUAUAGAAGACUUAAGAGACAAAUGAGGUAUAAUAUUUUUCAAAGCAUGUUUGUUUGGAUGACCAAGUCGUUGAUGCAGUAAGUUUCCACAAACAACAGAUUUGGUAAUGUUUACAUGACUCUUAGAAUUUACUGAUUCAGUACAAGCUUUAUUUUCAGCUUUAUUUGACAGAACAGAAGCUGAAUUACUAAUAACAGAAAUCAUUGAUCUAGGUACAUAGGCUAGAGAACAGGAUUUGGAAAGAAAGGUAUCUUUUGACAGCAGCUGAUACAAUCCUUCUUUAGCAAUCCCUUGAGCCAGAUGCACAGUCUUCUUCUUGUCCUUAAUGAAACAAAGAUUGGCAACAAACUCAAUGGUUAUGUCAUUAUCUUUCAAAAGUGUUGAAAUACUAAUGAGGUUUUUGGUUAUUGCAGGCACAUAUAAGAUGUCAUUUAAGUGUAAAAGUGAGUCACAUGAUGUAUGAAAGCAAGCAUAUCCAAUAUGUGAUAUAUUCAAACCUUCCCCAUUACCAACAUGUAAUAGCUGAUUACCUGAAUACUCCAUUCCCAUAUUCAGAUUCUGCAGAUUGUUGGUGAGAUGGUGAGUAGCACCACUGUCCAAGUACCAUCCUUGAUCAGCUAAGCCACCCUCUGAAGUUGUGAGAAAAGCAGCUUUUGUGUUUGACUGAUAAGGGUUGAAGUUUGAGGGUGGAUAUGCAGGAGUGAAAUCUUUGUUAAACAUGUUCCUACACUCAGCUGCAGUGUGCCUUGGCUUGAAACAAAUUUGACAGAUGACAGCAGGAGAAUUCUGAGCACCUUUGUUACCAUUAAAGGCACCAUUCUGACCAAAUACACCAUUGCCACUGUCAUUCCAGUCACCUCUUCCUUGUCCAGAAUAAUUCCUGUUGAAAUUGCCAGUAUUCCAGUGAUUACCAUCAGACCAGUUACCUCUUCCUUGGCCUGUAACACCUCUGCCAAAACCACCUCUUCCUCCAUUAUUGCUAUUAUAGCCUCCUCUGCCACCAUUGUUCCCAUUCCAGUUGACAUUUUGAUUCCAGUUACCAAAACCUCCUCCAUUAUUAUUAUUGUAGCCUCCUCUGCCCCCAUUAUUUCCAUUCCAAUUGGCAUUUUGGUUCCAAUUACCAUAACCACCUCCAGUAUUGCCAUUAAAUUUCUUGUUAGGUCCAGUCUGAGCCAUAUUGGCAGUAUAGUUCAACUUAGCUUCUUUAUUAGCAUUUUGUUGAUUACUCUCUAUUCUAGCCUCAUGAGUUAAAAGCAUAGAAUAUGCUUCAUUUACUGACAUUUUCAACAUAUUAGCUUCUAUGUAUACAACCACAGGAUAAUAUGGCUGUCCUAAUCCACAUAUCAGAUGAGUUAUAAAAUCUAGAUUGGUUACAGGACUUCCAGCCAAAGCAAGUUCAUCACUCACAGCCUUAAGUUUGCUAAAAUACUCAGUGAUUGUCAUUGAUCCUUUUUUGAGAUUAUUAAGUAGCAUUUUCAGAUGUACUUUCUUAGCACCUGUUUCUGAUCCAAAUUGUUCUUCAAUGUUAGUCCAGAGUUCAUUAGAUGAGUUAGAAUUUACCACUAGACUGAGAAUUUCAACACUGAUCGAUGACAUCAACCAGCUCAGCAGCAACUGAUCCUGCCUUUUCCAGUUAUUGAACUCUGGAUUUUCCUGUGGCUCAGCUACAGUUACUCGAUCUGAACUUAAGCUUGCUUCUUCUUGAUUGUGAAACUGAUUUGGACACUUUCUAGUUCCAUCAAGAAGAGAUUCAAGUCCAUUGGCUCGAAUUGUAGAAAGGAUCUGAGAUUUCCAGAUUGUGUAGUUUGAUCUGUCUAAUUUGAUUGGAUUUGUGAAGGUAAAAGAAGAAACAGUUUGAUUAAUGUUUGGAUUUGAGCUUGAAGAAGCCAUGGCAGCUUGGAUCAUAGCUCUGAUACCAAGUUAAAAACAGAGUUCGUGUGUUUGGAUACAGAGAAAAUGUAUGAACCAGAGAGAAAAUGUUGAGAGUAUUCGAAGAGCAAAAAUGAGAAAAAUGAUUUGUUAUAUUAUUGAUCUUGAUGACAACUGUUGUAUAUAUACAUAAUCUGGAAUGGUAUACACGCGUUGUGUAUGUGAAAAACAAAAUCAAGGCUCAGUUACUAAACCGUUAUUAACAACUAAAACUAACCAGUUGACUCAGCAAGUUACACAUCAGCAAUACUAACAAACAAAAAACUAAUUAGCUCGUUAAUUCUAUAACUCCAUAAUAUGAACUAUCUUAACAAUGCGAUUGUAUUCUUUUAAGAUUUUCUGUGCUUAUCAAAUAUUAUUUGUUGCUCAACUUAAAACAUGUUAGUCUUGGAAGCUAUUCAGAUUUUGCUGGAUAGAUCAAAUACUGGUUCAUAUUUGUGAUAUUUUAACUGAUUGCUUUGUUCUGCAGGUCACCUUCAACCUCUCGUGCAAGGUCAAGAUCCAAGUCAAGGUCACCCGUGAGUUUUCAUCGUAGAAGGAGGUCCCGCUCUUUCUCGCCUCCAUCCCGCCAUCGAAGAGGUCAUAGGUCCAGGUCACCGCUAAGAUCACGCCACUAUUCAAAAUAUGAUAAUGAGAGGCUUUCAACCGGAGACACCAGGGACGGUGCUGACAGAUCUAGGAGGGAGUCAGAUAUUAAAGGAAGAGAAGGAAGAAAUCAGAACAAAGAAAGAAAAAAAAAUAGAAGCAAAACGAUGUCGUUUGAAGACGAAUCAAAACAAAAAAAAUAAGAGCUGAAAACGACGACUUAUGCUGCCGUUUCGGGGUUUGACCCGGAACAAAUAGCAGAACUCUUUAUUUUAUCUCUUAAUUUAAUAAUUUAAGAUAUCUUUUAUUUAAUAAUGAUUAUAUAUAUAUAAUUUUCUUUUAAAAAUAAACAAUUUAAGUGAAGCAAGGACAUUUUGGAGGCGUCUACCGACAUACCAUUUUGGAUUGCAAUAAAGUGAAGGGUCCCGCUAAUUUACAGCUUAUGUCAGUUACAUGGACUUGACUAGCUUACAGUAUCUGUAAGCUACAGACUGCAGCAUCAGCCGUUGGAUGUGGUUAGAUGUGGAGUGAGAAACUAAACAAUAAAAAAUCAGAUGGUGGGAUGACGGGAGAUGUUUGUUACAGAAACUGUACCAUAGACAAGUCCCAGUUACAUUCAUAACAAAUUAAUAAUUGUCUUUAUUAUAAAAUUUUUUUAUAUUCAAAUAUCGGUUCAUUUAUUCAACCAAGUCCUCGUAUUCUUUUAAUUUAUGAUAAGAUUCUCGCAUGGACCAGAUCUGCAUAUGUGAUAAUUACUAACUCUGUCAACUAGCAGGACCCCCAUUUUUUUAAUUUGAAUGGUCACAUCAUGAUCACACUUACAGACCCACAGAAUAAUACCAACAACGAACUGUAAAUUUCCAUGGACACAAAUAUCCCCAACUAGUGCUUGCUAAUUAACUAUACACAUAAAACUUAAUCACAUGUAUAAGAAUUUCGGCCCCUCAUUGCAAUAAAGUCAAGAGUUUUCGAGAUAGAAAAAAAUAGGUGAAGGAUGAAGAUCAGAGAAGAAAAAAUAUUAAGAAUAGUUUUUGCAUUUUGAUGGGUUUUAUAAAGUAAAACCUAUAUUUGUAAUUGUAUUAGCGGUAAUUGAAUGUUGGUAGCAAGUACUGGUCAAUAUAUAUAGUCACUACUGGUCACUAUAUAUAUAUAUAUAUAUAUAUAUUACAAAAUUGGUAGCAAGUACACAAUGGAGUCUAAUUAAUUAAUCAAUUGGUGUAAAAUUUGUAUCUCCUACAUAUAUAAAUCAUCUGCAAAAUGGCACAAGACAACUAGACAAGUGCUUUAUUAUUGGCUUGCUGCAGUUCUGAACAGCCUCCAUUUGCUUCUUGAUUGCGGGAUAGCUUGAUCACUAGAACCUGCUUUUUUAUUGUAGGAAUUAAUUAAAGUGCCACUUCUUCUGUGGCUUCUUGCUGCUGCCGCCGCUGCAGCGUAAUAAAAAAUAGUUUAAUUUGCUUCCUAUUGUAAUAUAAAAUAAAAAAAUAACUAUAACUUUUGUGUUUUUUCCAUUUAUUUUUCUGCAGUUUUCAUAAUAUCUCGUUAAUCUGUUACUCUUGAUGUCGAAGCCUUUUUAGAAAACAAAUGAGUGAUUGUUUUGCGUCUGAAGGAGUUUUGUGUAUAUAUAAUAUUCUCCCAAUUUCUUUUUCUUCUCUCUAUUUUGCUUUUGAUUUCGGCUUCUCCAAAAAUAUGAAAAAUGAAGUAGCCUCCAUUGUAUUUAAACCUUAUAUAUAUAUAUAUAUAUAUAUAUUCACGAAUAAAGCAAAAAAGAAAGAGGCGUCAAGCAUGAGGUGGCAAGUGAAGCAACAGAAGCAAAUUAGUCAAACAUGCAUGUGAUCUCGAGGAAGCAAGCAGCUAGCUAUUUCUUAUUUAUGAAGCCAAGUGUGGCUUCAUUUGGUGGCUUCAUGUGUUCAUCUAAUUAAUAUUUAGAUGAACAAUGAGAAAAUUAAUUUUGAAAUUUUUUUGAUUAAAGUAUGUGUUUUAUUUUUUAUUUUUAAAAAUAAAAUAAAACAAAAGUAAUAUAAAAGAAAUUUUUUUUAUGUAUUUGCUUUGGCCCUUCUUCUUCAUCUCUUUGUCUUCUUCAUCUCUUUCUUUAUCUUUUUUUUAUGGGUACUAUUUAUAAAAUAUUAUCAUGUUAUCAUUGUACUAUUUAUGAAAUAAAGUUUGAUAACUUAAAUAGUUGAAGUUAGGAUAUUAUUUGAAUUUUAAAGAGUAUAUAAAGUAAAACUUAAUUUUUCUAUAAAUUAUGUAUAAGUGUGUAGAGUAGUUGAAUGUUCAAAGUAAUAUUUAGAGUGUAAAUAACCCUAUCCAUAAUCGAAUGAUUUGUGAAACGAAAAAUGAUUGAAAUUUUUUGAGAAAAAAUAGAAAAAAAAGAACUUAAAUACCAUUAAAAAAAACAUUUUGAAAAAUAAAAAUUAUUGCUGUCGCCACACACUUUCUUCGCGGUUUAGAAAGCUAGAACAUUUUGAAGUUACUCAAUACAAAAUGCGUGCUACUACUAAACAUUGGCCCAAUUAAUGCCCAUCGAAAAGGCCAUCAAUUUAGCCAACAAUUUUGUCAAAAUUUCAACAAUUGAAGAAACAAUGGUCACAAACGGAACAGGUGAAUUUUGAAGUUGAAUAAAUCUUGAGAUACAUACAACAAAGCCUUGAAACUUUAUUCUUCACAAUUUGAGCACGCACUAACUAUUAAACAAGUAUAGAACAAAGCUUAUUUUUAGCUCCUUGCGCGAACUGAACACGUUGAACAAAGCUUUUUUUUUUUUCUUUUUUUGGAUUUUUGGAAUUUUUUAAAUUCAUUUAUGUUCGCUCCCAUCUUUUUCUUCGCUGGCGUCUUCAUUGGCAUCCCUCUCUUGGCUGGCAGCUGCCUCCUCCGUAGUUUGCUGUGCCUAUAUAUCCAACCAAUAAAUUGGGCAUUAAAUACGAAUGAAUGAUGAAUAAAAUGAUUAAAAAAUAACAAACAGAGAAAAUUAUAAUAUAACAAAUAUAUAUAUCAAAAGAGAAAUUUUGAUUUUAGGAUAGAUCAAUUAGCUAUCACAAACGAAAACAUGAACCAACUAUGUAUAGAAUCAAUUAAUUUAAAGUUCUCAAGAAUUACCUCUGCUCCAGAAUUCUUGGAAUCAUCUUCUCCUUAUGAAUUUCCACUAAGCUUGGGACAAUUACGAACAGCAACUCCGUCGAAUGCAGAUGGAAAUGGGAUCUGAUAACCCGCAGGCCAAAUGUUGGCGAGGUUUGGUAAAUCUGUCAGUUCCAACUCCCGAAGUUCAUUCAUAACAAUUUCAUUGUAAUCCGUGACGUCUGCUCCAUCUUUAUGCCAGAAUACUUCUUCUAAUUCAUCAUUAGCUUCUAUGAAUAGGUACUUCAGUUUUUGAAGACUUGGAGCUACGCUGAUAUGAAAUAGACGCUUUAGUUUGGGGCAAUAACCGACAGAGAUCCUUUUGAGUUUUGGGAAAUAUACAGGUUGGAGAUGAUCCUCAUCAAUGAUUUGUUCUAAUUCUGAGCAAUUCCAAACAUAUAACCCCUCCAAUUGCAACAGAUUUCGAGCAAGUUGUUGAUGAGAAGAGACGUCUCAGUGUAGUGCACCCGUCCACUCUUAAAUAGGUAAGACUUUGCAGGCUAAAAUUAUGCGUGGGACCUUCAUGAUAUAAUAAUACUUGCAUUUCUCGAAGGUUAUAUGUAGAGAAGAGAACUAAGGUAAACGUGAUAUAUGGUGGAUUAUAUUGAAAUUAGAUUACUUUAGAAAUUUUUAAACAAAAAAAUAAAUAAGCCUCAGAGUUCGUUGUGCCCCAAGGAGCCCAGUGGGUUUCAAGUAGUGGGUUCAAAAUUUGGAGGCAAGGGUCCAAAAAAAUAAAUUUGAGUUUUGUUCAUCCCUUGCUCACUUUUUUUUUUUAAAUUUUAAAAAUGAGCUUGUUGUGAAUUGCGAGUGAAGACAUGCAGAUACCGUCUUUGUUUCACCGGCUCUUUAGAACAAGGUUAUUAUUAUUUGGCACGAUAAGCCCUUAGCACCAUAUUGAUUAGAGUGUGUUCAUGAGGUGUGGAUUCCCCCCUCAUGAUUUAAUUGGCAUUAAUAAUGAAUAAUGAAUAUUUAGCCCAUGGUGUAUGUUAAUACGGAUCCAGAUACCUAAGUACGUCAUUUCAAUAGAUUUCUCUUCAAUUUAUUCUCGCCAUUUCAAUUCCAAUUUUAGAAUAAUCUAAGUCACUUUCACCACAAAUCCAACCACCCUCAUACAAAAUCAAUUCUAUAUAUAAUUAAAAUCCACCUCCUCGUGGGAUCGACACUCGUCACCAUUAAUCUAUUCUACAAUAGAUUUGUGCACUUACGAGUUCAAUAAAAUUUGCACAACAGUGAUGAAAAUUGAAAAGCCACCCAUAAUAACAGUUAAAAAGAGUAUUAGAGAUUAGAAGACUUUAACAUCCUAUGCACGUGCACUCAUGAUAAAAUUUGACGGGUUUCAAGAUUAUUACCCCUUUCUUUCUUUAAUCAAUAUUCUAAUAAAAUAAUACCAUAAUUCUCAAAUAAUAUCCUAACAUAUUUUUUUCUUCAAGUGUUCAUCAUAAUACUCACCUAUUAGAUAAUUAAUUGAAUCAUAUGUUAAAUUAUUUAUUAUUUUAUCUUACUAUAUAUCUAAUGGAUAUAAAUGACAAUUUAUUUGGUGUGGUAAAGCAUGGGGUAAAUUGAAUAGUUUGUAUGAGAAUAAUUUGAGGUUUGUAUAAUUUAUAUGAAGAUAAUCUGCAAAAUAUGUCAAUUUUAAAAGAGCGAUAUUAGUAAUCAUAAAUUUAUCAAUUUUUUUAAUAAAGAUUUUGUUUAAAAAUUGGCUAACUGGGUUUCAUGAGGAAAAUAGAGGAGCAUGAACGGCGCCACUUUUAAUUUUUAUUGUUGUUGUACAAAUGAAAUUUCAAAAGAUGCAUUAAAUGGAUCCAUUUGAAAUCGCAGGAGAGCAAAAGGGACUUACGUUGGACUUGAGAUUGAAAAAAUUAAUUUUAUUUUUAAAGUAUGGUCAACAGUAAUGACUUGGAGGUGAUUCCUAUUAAUCAACCAUCUUUAACUUAAAGAAUUAAUACAAAUAAAUGGCAAAAAUAAUAUAAUGAAACUUAAUGUAAUAAAAAAUUGCAUUAAAAGAGUCGGUACAAGCUCGCUAUCUGUUCUGUUUCAACACCAUUGUUAAAGAACUUGAGGAUAAAGAAACUAAUUUGAAGGAGGCACAAGAUGGCAUCAAUGAAAGAGUAGAACAAGAACGACAAAUACACAGCGCCAUUGACAUUGAGAAAGAUGUAGAGAAGUGGCUGGCGGAUGUAGUCAAAGAAAUGGCCGAUGUCCAAACGUUGAAAGCAAAGAUAGCUGAAAAGAAGAGUUGUCUUAAUGGAUGGUGUCCUAAUUGGGGUUGCCAAUAUUGGAUGGGUAGAAAAGCAUCAAAGGAGACUAGCAAGUUGUCUAAUCUACAUGACCGCGGCAAAUUCAACACGGCUGCCCGUCCUAAACCUCUUCCAUCAGACAAAGAAAUGCCUAUUCCAAGAUUUGUUUCUUCUUU
rnacentral:lncRNA from 1 species